UUUUUUUUUUUUUUUUUUGUGAGACUUGGUUCUAUAUGCAAGUUCCUACUUUACUUUGAGACUAGCGUGUUCCCAGAUUCAACGCCGACGAGUCGAGUUCCUUAACUCUACAUGAUUCCGAAUCUACUUGAGUAUUUACACACUCAAAGGGGAGUGUUAUAAACAUUGUAUUUAAGUGUGACUGUGUAAAUCCUAGAUUAGAUUUGAUACCAGUUAUUCUUCUCUAUUAGGACUUGUAUUCCUUGGAGGAGAAUGAUUCUUCCCUCCCUUAUUACUAUAAAUAAAGACAUUGCAUAGGGGGAAUAACACAUCCUUUACAUAACCCUACAAAUACGUCUUUCUCCCCACUCUCUCUUUGCCAUGCACCUCUCUCUCCCUGUCAGAUUACAAUAAGCCACGAAAUUUUCCCUAUUCUGGGUUGAUUAUUUUGGUGAGAUUUUGAUGCUUUGUUAUGUAUUUUCAAUGUAGGACAUGCGAAUCUUUUUUUUAUUUAUUUAUCAUAAAGUAGUCAAACGGUAGAAUUUUGAGUGAUUUCAAUUGGAGUAGGUUCGUGAGUUUGUCAAGAAUAAUGUAUCAAAAUUUCAGAAUUUUAUCCCAAAGCAUCUGAUCAUGGAGAAUUAAUUUAUGCCCAGCGCCAAGUGUUGACAGAUUGGGCUUUAGAUCUUAGUUGCAACUUUUGGGCUAGAAGAUGAUGGAUUUUGGACUUGGGCUCCUCUUGAAACUUGAAGAGGAGGUCCUAAUCUAUAAUUCGAGUUGUUUUGAACCUAUUUUGGAGCCCUAAAGGUCCAAAAACAUGAUUGAUUCUCUGCUGGGCAGAUUUCUUACCUUGAUUUGGAUUAUGAUGUUAAGUCCAUCCUUUUAUUAUUUUGUUUCCUAGUUUUUAGAAGACCUUUUCUUGGAAGGAUUUUAAUUUGCAAUAGUAAGGAUUUUAAUUUGCAAUAGUAUAAAUAAGGUUAUUUAGCCAUUAGAGUUCUCUACGCGAGAUUGAGAGAACUUAGCAAAGCAUUGGCGAAUUUCAGACAUCAUUCUACAAGGUUCUUUCACCUUUUUCUAUUUUCAAUAAAAUUCCUUUUGAUUUUAAUUAUGAGUAUGUGUAACUAAUUCCUUUUGUUAGGCCAAGACCAUGAGGCUUAGCAUGAAUAUGUGAUUUUAUUAAUUUGCUGAUGAAUGAAUACAUGCUUGAUUUGAAUUAUUAAUCAUUGAGUUUAAACUAUCUAAUUGUCAUUGUGCUUAGCUACCAUUAGGAUAAUUAGACAAGUAAUUUGGUGCAAUUUCUAUUGGAACAUCACCCUGAAAUUGAGUAGGGCUUCUUGUGGUUAGUAAUUGUAAGUUCACUUAAGGUGAAAAUCACGCUCUUAAGGGUUGCAUGGUUUUUCAAAGGGGUUUCACAAAGCUUAAUGAGUCAUGCAUGUUUGUAUUUGAUCUGAACAUCACAUAUGAGUUGCAUGCUAGAUAUCAUUACAAAGAAAAUAUGGAUUAGGAAAACCCAACCUUCAAAGUAUGUAUGUGGAAAUUCAUAAGCAUUUGAUAAAACUAUAUAAGAUUGUUAACGAUGAUGGCUUAACUCUAGUUUUUUUUUUCUUCUAAAAAACGUUUUUCUUGCUUUUUUUUUUUUUACUGUUUUCGGCAAACUUUCAGAUUGGUUUACUGUUUAUUUUAGUUUUUAAAUUUCAAAAUCUCAAAUCUUUGCUAAAAUCUGUUUUAAUUAAUUAAUUAAAGGUCAGCUUAAUUACAAAUUAUUCAAACAAUCAUUGUGGAGAACAACUUGCAUGAGCGGUUAUACUACAAUUAUCUUGUACUCUUAUAAGUAUUUUAAGUGAUUUUAACCAUAUUUGCGCAGGUAUAAAGAACCCUAUCAAUAUGGAGCAUCCAAUGGUACAUGAUUAAUUGGAGUGGUUAGGAUUAAUUUAAAUGUAGAAAGGGUAAUUCUAGGAAGACUAAAUUUGUAAGUUAAAUGAUAUGAAAGUUAAAGAUUGGAUUAUUGUUUAAGUGUUAAUUAACGUGCUUAUUUCUUAUUGAUGACACAUCAUUUGGUUUAAAAAAUUUGGUCUCCCUAGCAUUACUCUUUCUUAAACACAUCAUUUAUUAGUUUACAAAUUUCGUUGCCUAGUAUUACUCAUGUAGAAAACUUCAAAGAUGGUAAUCCAGAGGAGCAAUAUCCAGACAGAAUCCUUGCUGUUACCGUGGAUCAUUGACAAUUGCUCAAAUCAUGUACAUUCAUCUCUUUGCAACUAAGACACAAUUCUUCUGUAAUCCAACCCCUCCAGCCAUAUAUAUAUAUAUAUAUAUAUUGAAAAAGCAACUGCUCUUAGCAAAGAACAUGAAACUUGUCAAUUAUUCACACCUGAACAAAUCAGAACUCAUAGAAAAGAUGGUCAUAAUUAUAUCCACAUAGGUUUAGUCCAAAUAGCAGUCAAGCCUUUAACUAGAAGAGGUAUUAAUACCUCUAUUUUGUUAUAUUUACGAGAUGUGCGAUUCACUGACUUUAGUGAUAGCAUUCUUGGAAUGAUCGAAUCAAGUCUUUACAACGGACCAAUUCAUUUUGAUUGUUUCCCAAACCUCACAAUAAGUCUUUCAGAUCCCCACAUGCUGAAGGCACUCACUUUAAACAUCAAAACUUUAGGAUACCAAGUUCUUGAAGGAGUUCAACCAUUAGCCUUAAUCUUUAGAGUUUACUACAAAGUCAUUGGAACAAACAUGAAUUUUCAAGCCUUAGUCAAGAGUCCAAGAGACCACACACUUCUAAUCCAAACCAAGCAAGAAAAUGCUAACAUCAAAAUACCUAGAACCAUUAGGUAGUUAGAUAUCAAUCUACCUUCAGAUUGGUGUUUGAUUAAUGAAAGCAAACCAGUUAAUAUUCAAAAUAGUCUAGUCAACCAAGACAACAUAGAACAAUAUUUUGAUGAAAAAGUUAAGAUCAACUUUGACCGACCAGCUAGAAAAUCUAAUGUCAACCCCCAUGAGUUAUCCCAGUCACAUAGGUCUUUAGCCCCCUGUAGGAAUUCUUUUGCCAUAUUCACAUCUACCAGCAUGGUAGAUCAAGAUCAAGAUCUCAUUAAUUCUUUAAUCAACAAAAAAUUAAAAGCAGUAGAAAAUAAGUUCAACUGUCACCCAACAAGAAUUAAUCAAUGAUUUGAUUAAUAUCAAACUAAAAUCAAUAAAAACAACCUCUCAAGUCACUCAUCCCGUUUAUCAACCCAAUACCCAAAAUCAAGGAGAACGAACUUCUCCAACAGCAUCUGACUAUGACACAGGUCAAGUUAAUCAUCAAUUACUUAUGUUAAAUAAGCCAUUUAAAAUUCGAUGGAAGAAGCUCAAUGUUGACAUCGAAGCAACAGAGAACAUUCCUCGAUGAAAUAUUUUCAUAAACAAAUAUACAAAAGAACAAAAAUUGGACAUUUACAAUAAAUGGACCAAUUUCAUGAACAAAUACAGAUUCAAAGUAUUUUUCUUCGACUUUGUUGAAAGAUAUUAUGAAUCUAAAAACAAAUUAAAGGUUAUCACCAAAGAAAAUUGGGUCAAACAAGAUAAAACCAUAGUUUCAUCUAGUCAUCCCCCACAAGAAACUAUUUUAAUUUCCACUGCUAAUACUCAAAUACUAGCCACUCCUUACAAACUCCCAAAAGAGGAUGCAGGAGUCAAACCUGUCAUUGAACAAAUCAAUUUCACAAAUCAGAGUCUUCAUACCAUGGGAAAACAACUAGAUAAAAUUGAAAUAAAAAUAGACAAACUUUCCCAACCAAAACCAACAUAGGGAAAAACCUCUAGUCAACUUUCCAAAGUCUUCUUCCAACAUAAUCGCUUUGAAAACCAUCUCCACAAGCCAAAAAAUUGACCAAAUGUUACAAGAAUUAAAACAAGAAAAGACAAUCAAUGUUUUACAACACCCGGAAGAGUCUCAUGAAGAAACAAUUUCUACAAUUUGGGAUUCAGAAAAUGAAACUGAAAUAGAUUCCAUUAGGAAACUCGAAAUUUUUUUCCAAAACCUUGAACUCAAAAGAAUCACAAAUAAAUGAGUCAACCCAACACCUCUUACAAAAAAUUGGUAUCCAAGACCAACGCCUCCGGAUAUUCAGUUUGAAGAACGAAACAUCCAAAAUCAAUUCUCAGUCUCAGCUAAUAAACUCUAUGAAUGGAAUAUAGAUGGUUUAUCAGAACAAGAACUUCUAAACAAAUUACAACACAUCUAUAUGGUUGCUAAUAGUUAUAUUACCAAUAAUAAUCUUAGCCAAGUACAAGUUGUUAACCUUUUGGUCAUUGGAUUUACAGGAAUGCUUCAUUCCUGGUGAGAAAAACAUCUCACUGAACAAUCAAGAAAUGAAAUAAAAAAUGCAGUUAAAAAGGAUGAGGAAGGAAUUCCCAUCUUUGAUGAGCAUAUAGGACAAAAGUCUCAGAUGCAGUGAACACAUUACUUUUCACCAUUAUAGAACAUUUCAUAGGGACAUCUAGUAAUGUCACCUCCAGAAUUCAUGACCAACUUAGCAAUUUACGAUGUUCAACCUUAAGUGAUUUUAGGUGGUAUAAAGAUGUCUCCAUGUCUAGAGUCAUGCUUAGAGAAGAUAGUAAUCAACCAUUUUGGAAAGAAAAAUUUAUUAAUGGAUUACCAAACCUUUUUGCCCACAAAAUUAGAAAUGUUUUAGUCAAUGAAGAAGGUAUCAUACCAUAUCAUACCCUUACUUAUGGAAAUAUUAUUAAUAUUAUCCGAAGGAAGGAUUGAAAAUGUGUAUAGAUAUGAAAAUCUCAAAACAAGUUAACAAAGAUAAAUCAAUAGCUAAAUACAGAUUAGGAAUAUUCUAUGAACAAUAUGGAUUACCUCUUAUUGCUCCAUCCAACAAAAAGAAAAAAAUCACAAGUCUACCAUAAGUACCCCAAUAGGUACUCAAGUAGACAAAACCUCAGAUACAACAAAUACAAAUCCAAAAACAAAAACUUUGAAACCAAUAAAUUUUAUGAAAAACCCAAGUCUAAUAAAUGGAAAAGAAAACCCUCAGAAAAAUUUCACUCCAAAAAGCAAGAACAAAAAAGGAAUGCUACAAGUGUGGCAAAUUUGGUCAUUAUGCAAAAAAAUGUUGUGUCAAGAAAACAAUCAACCAAUUGAAGAUCUUUGAGGAAGAGAAGAUUCAAUUAAUCCAAGUCCUAGAAUUAAAGGACACAGACCAUAGUCAAUCCGAGGAUGAUCUAAGUUCUAGUUCAUCUUCCUCCAAUAAUUCUUCAAGUAGUCUUUCAUCCCCAAAUAUUAAGAUAGGAUGCACUGAUACUUGUUGUAACAAGAUUUCAGUCCUCAAUAAACAAGAAGAACAUGAAGAUCUUCUUAAAGAGUUAAUCAGUAAGGUCGAUGACCCGGAAUUAAAAUCAUAUUAUUUAAAGAAACUCAAAAAACUAGUCUCUCACGAAGAAACUAGUACUAGUCAACCCUAGUCAUCACAAAAAAUCAGUCUAAGUACAACUUUAGAACGAUUCAACAAAUUCAAGAGGGAAAUCACAGUGAAAUACUUACAGAGAGAAGUCAAUAAAAUCAAAGAUGAAAUUAGGGUUCUCAAAUCAGAAAAUCUAGAAAUCCGUACACAUCUCAGUAGAGUUCAAAUGCAAAUGAUUGGCAACAACAAUGAUGAAGAACACAUUAGUUCUUCUUCAAGUCACAAUUCAGACUCCCAGUUUGAAGAAACGUCAUCAAAAAAUUUAAUUUUAGGAUUAUUAGACAAGAUAAGAAUCCAGAAAUGGUAUUCUAAAAUCAAAAUAAUAAUUGAAGAUUUUCACUUAGAAACAAUUGCUUUGAUUGACUCAGGAGCAGACUUGAAUUGUAUUCAAGAAGGACUAAUUCCUACUAAGUAUUUUCAUAAAUCAACAAAAAUACUUAGUGCUGCAAACCAGUCACCAAUGCAAUUAAAAUAUGAAAUUCCAAAAGCCCAUGUUUGUCGAAACAAUGUUUGUUUAAAAACCCCAUUCGUUUUAAUAAAAAAUAUCUCGGAUCUAGUCAUUUUAGGGCUUCCUUUCAUAGCCCUUUUAUAUCCUUUUAAGGUUCAUCAUAAUCGUAUAACUACCCGAAUGUUAGGACAGAAAAUUAUCUUUGAGUUCUGCACGGAAACAGACCUAAAAAAAGUAAGACAAUUACAAAAGAAUAGCAACUAAAAAACCAUCAAUUUAGUCAGUAAGAAAUCAACAAAUUAAUUUCUUAAAAGAAGAAAUUAAUUACAAAAGAAUUGACGAACAAUUAACGAAUCAAUCUUUGUUACAAAACAUUGACAAUUUUCAAAAUAAACUUGUUAAUGAAAUAUGUUCUGAAUAUUCCCAAUGCCUUUUGGCAUCGAAAACAACAUAUUGUCAAACUCCCUUACAAUAAGGAUUUUGAUGAAAAGAAAAUACCAAUCAAAGCCAGACUAAUUCAAAUGAGUCAAGAAGUUAUGGAAUUCUACAAGGCAGAAAUUCAAGAACUUCUUAGUAAAGGAAUAAUUAGGAAGAGUAAAUCACUAUGGUCAUGCCCUGCUUUCUAUGUUCAGAAGAAUGCUAAAUUAGAAAGAGGAACUCCCAGGUUAGUCAUCAAUUAUAAACCUCUUAAUGAAGUCUUGGAAUGGAUACGAUAUCCAAUUCCUAACAAAAGAGAUUUAAUUAAGAGACUAAGUCAAGCUGUGAUAUUUUCAAAAUUUGACAUGAUGUCUAGAUUUUAGCAAAUCCAAAUACAUAAGGAUGACAAAUACAAAACAACGUUUGUCACUCCUUUUGGUCAUUAUGAAUGGAAUGUAAUGCCCUUCGGCCUUAAGAAUGCACCCAAUGAAUUUCAGAAUAUCAUGAAUAAAAUAUUUAAUCAAUACAAUCAUUUCUCAAUUGUUUACAUUGAUGAUGUUCUUAUUUAUUCAAAAUCAAUAGAUGAGCAUUGGAAACAUUUGAAUAUGUUUGCCAGGACAAUUAAGUCAAAUGGAUUAGUUGUCUCAACAACAAAGAUUAAAUUAUUUCAAACCAAAAUUAGGUUUUUAGGAUACAAUAUCCACCAGUCUACCAUUCAACCAAUAGACAGAGUCAUCCAAUUUGCAGAUAAGUUUCCUGAUGAAAUCACUGAUAAAACCCAAUUACAGAGAUUUCUAGGAUCUUUAAAUAUGUUGCAGAAUUUUAUCCCCAUCUCAGACAACAAUGCAAACCUUUAUUUGAUUGUCUCAAAGAAAAUCCUUCACCUUGGUCUCAUACUCAUACUUCUAUUGUCAAACAAAUCAAAUCCCAUGUUAAGACUUUACCCUGUCUUGGCAUUCCAACUUCCAAUUCAUUCAAAAUUGUCGAAAUUGAUGCCUCUGAAAUUGGUCACGGAAGUAUCCUCAAACAGUCAAUCUCAUCCAGAUCUCCUGAACAAAUUGUUCGUUUUCAUUCAGGAGUAUGGAAUCCAACACAAAGUAAUUAUAGUACUAGAGAUAUUAUCUAUUGUAUUAUACAUUAGCAAAUUUCAAGAUGAUUUAUUAAAUAAAUUUUUUUUAGUCAAAGUCGAUUGCAAAUCUGCAAAAUAUGUUUUACAAAAAGAUAUUCAAAACAUUGCAUCAAAACAGAUUUUUGCACGAUGGCAAGCCAUAUUAAGUAUUUUUGAUUUUGACAUUGAAUAUAUUAAAUGUAGCCAAAAUUGCAUUCCUAAUUUCUUGACCAGAGAAUUUUUGCAGGGGAAGAAUGACGGACAAAAGAAAUAAUCAAAGAAGGCUUCCAACCACCCUAACAUCACCACCAGUAAAACAAGAAUCAAGCCCAGAUUCUUCAUUAGCCUUAACCAUUACCAACUGAUUCACUCCCUUAGGUUCCACAAUAGGAAACUUCAGACCAAACUACCAAACACCACAACCAAAUUACCAAACGACAUUAGUCAGCCAAUAUGAUUCUUACUCAUCUUAGCCAUACCAUCCAUCAUCGUCUCAAUCAGCCAACUAUGCUAAAACAUCCCCUUAUGUCCAGAAAAACCCGAAGGAAUACCUUUUCAGCAUCCCCUUCAAUAUUCACCAAGAUCAAGCCCCAGAAAAAAUAGCCAAAACAGUUUUUCCUCCCAAUUUUCAUUAUCAGCUUAUUGAAUCUAUUAAGACUCAAAUAUUAUCAAGCCAUUCUCAGUGAGACUGAAUCCAUCUCAAUUAAACCAAUUUAUAGCACAACCCAUGAAAACAAAAUCUUUUACCAUUCUCUUUAUAUUGGAAAGUUUUUAACUAAAUUAGAAUGGGGACUCCCCCUCUACCAGACAAAACCUCUUCAUACCCAGCAUGUUCUCAUCCCCAAUAAUCAUUACAAUUAUUUUGAUUAUAUUCAAGCAUGGACUAACAUUUUCCUCCAUCAAACAGAAGACUUUAGUCACUCAUGGUUUAUCAAUUUUGACAAGAGUUUCAGAUUAAAUUUCCCUGCAUGGUUUCCAAAAUAGUGGUCAGUUCAUGGCCCAAUAGCCAACCUCUUACCAGAAGAACUCAUGCAAGUCCUCUCAGCUGGUUUCCAGCAAAAAUUUGACAGAAGCCGAUUCAACUACAAGAUUACACUUCUCCCAUUGUUUAUGGCUAAGUACAAAGUCCCGUGGAUAAUGAAGUGGAAUUAUGAAGUCGAAACCGGCGAAGUCUACCGAACAAGAUCAGUCAAGUGAUGGGAUAAGUUCAAUCAUUAGAAGAUCAUCAAUCUGGUCCUCUCAAAAUUUCCCGUCACUCCAGUUCUAGUCAUCCCAGUAGCCUAAGCUCAUGCUAUUUCAGCACAACCAAAAAUGGCAUUGCCAAUCAUUUCAGAAUAAUCUCUAUCAGACAUUAGUCCUUCAUCAUCCCUCAAAGGAACAACCAAGUCAUCUAAAUCCACAAGUUCGAAGAAGAAAGAAAAAUCAUCCCAGCUCAAGGACUUAGCUCAACAAUUAAUGGCAGAAGCAGCUUUGCUCCAUAAUGAAGAUUCAGAUUCAGAGUCUUCAGAUGCAUCAACACAACAACCAGCUAACUCAGCAAGUCAGAAAACCAAGUGGGUAGACUAUCAGGAUUCCUAAGACUUGUUUGAAUUAUAAUUUACCCAUGUGAAUAAACAGUUGCUGAGCAUGUGAUUCCAAUAGGAAAAAUGUCUACAUCAACACCGAAAGCAGUAGCAAUUAUCAGCCAUCAUUCCAAACAAGACAUUAUUCAUGAAUAGUAAAAUUACUUUUAGUGUCCAUCCAUCAUGAUGUUCUCGAUAAUGUUCGCGUGAUUCAACAGUUAUUUGCUUUUAGCAUCUUUCCAACUCACAAUGCAGCCGAUUUCCCGCUUCAAUGAUUCAACUCAAUCAUCUCCAGUCUACUUAAGAAAACUCAAGUCUCAUUAGAGAGGAAGCUGAAACUUCUGCAUAUUCUAAAACAACGGAACAGAAGCAAAUAUUCAGCUUGUAAUUUCUCUGUUCAAAAUUGUAAACACUUUAACUAUCAAGGAUGCAUGCGUGCACCAAUAUCCUUGCUUUCAGUUCAAUUUGCUGACCCAAUCGUCAGUAAAUCAAUUGUAAGUUUCUAAAUAAGUUUUCAAUAAAACUUAUUUUCAAAUAUAUCUGCAUCAUUACUUUAAAUUCAUUAUUUUCAUUAUGAAGAAUAUUUUCAUAACAACUGAUUUUGAAUGGCAUAAAAUUCUUACUCACAGUCAAUUCAUCGAGUAUCUCAAGUUUAAGGUAAACACAGAUCAAUCAUUUGUUCAAUUCUUUCUAUUUGUUUAUAACAGUUGAUUCCAUGGUAUAUUUAAUCCUGGUUAUCCACCACAUCAAAUAUCUCUUAAUUAAAUGGAUCAUUCAUUCAAUAGUGCUUUUAAUCCUAAUCAUCAUUGCCCUUGGUACAAUUGUCCUCAUCAGUGUUUUUACCAGUAGUUACGUGUCACUUGGUAUCAGAGCCAAGUGAGUGGUAAUUGAGUUGUUAUCUCUUUAAUUGUCUUUGUUGUUCAUUUUACAGCUUUCAAUUCGGUUUAUCUUGUUUGUUCACCUUCUAAGCUGUCCUGUUUAACUCUCAACCCAAACAGUAAGGCAUGUUCCAAACAAUAAGUCCAUAGGAUUGGCAUAAGUGGAGAGGGAGUUUAGCAAAUACUCGAGGAAGGUAAGCCGAUAGGAUUUCUGUCUUGCAAGUCUGUAUUUUGAGCAAUAUGAGUAGAUUAUUUAGAUCUAAUUCAAUGGUCAACACUAGCUCUAGAUCCAGUCUAGGAACAAUUCCAGAUAUAGUUAAUGAAGAACAAAAAUUAGAUAUCAAACAGAUGACAUUGUCGACUUUGGAGAUUGGAAUAUCCCCAAGGUUUCUACUAAAAACAUUUACAAAAAGAAAUGGUCAAUAGCCUUUUUUAGAAGUGUGUGUGUGUAUAUAUAUAUAUAUCGCUCAAAAUCUCUCCCUCGUUUUUCAUCAAUUUAUAUAUUCAUACUAUAUACAUGCUAUCCAUCACAUUUAUAUAUUCAUAUUAUAUACAUGAUAUCUAUCAUACAAACUUGUUUUUGUAAAAACCAUUCGUUUCUAUUUUUAUUUGUUAAAAUGAAACGAUAUUAGCUGCGAGCUAGCACAGAUUUGUACACAAACUUGCUGUAAAACUAUUCCGUUUUAAUUUUGUGGUCAGAAAAACCUGCCACAGUCCUCGACAGUGUCUCAUUAAAAUAAAUUUUGUUCUAGGUUUGUUAUCGACAUUGUCGGUGUAUCAACCCUAUUUCCCUACCAUCACCAUCAAUCCAACUUCUUGUUUUUUUCCCUAUAGUUUUUCUUCAAAAAAAAUAACAAUAACAAAUCCUCUUUCUAUAAGAGAGGCAUCAACAACCGUCUUACUCUUCCUCUCCAUUUCUCUCUGUAACCCUCAUGAAAUUAAACACCCCAAACAACAAAACCCAUAUCUCCGUAUUUGAAAAAGCACAGCCAUGAUUACUGGCAAGGACAUUUACGAUGUUCUUGCAGCCAUAGUCCCCUUAUACGUGGCUAUGAUCUUAGCCUACGGUUCCGUUAGGUGGUGGAAAAUCUUCACGCCCGACCAAUGCUCCGGCAUAAACCGCUUCGUCGCUGUUUUCGCCGUCCCAUUGCUCUCCUUCCACUUCGUAUCCUCCAACGACCCUUACGCCAUGAACUACCAAUUCAUCCUCGCCGACUCCCUCCAAAAAGUAGUCAUCCUCGUUGCCCUCUUCCUCUGGCAAGCCUUCUCCAAGCGCGGCAACCUCGAGUGGAUGAUCACGCUCUUCUCCCUCUCCACCCUCCCCAACACCCUCGUCAUGGGCAUCCCUCUUUUACGCGCCAUGUAUGGCGACUUCUCCGGGACGCUGAUGGUUCAGAUUGUCGUUUUGCAGAGCGUGGUCUGGUACACUCUCAUGCUCUUCAUGUUCGAGUACCACGGCGCGAAGCUGCUCAUCUCUGAGCAGUUCCCGGAGACUGCAGCUUCGAUCACGUCGUUCAAAGUUGACUCUGACGUCGUUUCGCUCAACGGUCGAGAGCCGCUGCAAACCGACGCGGAAAUCAGCGAUGACGGGAAGCUUCACGUGGUGGUGAAAAGAUCGAAUGCGUCGUCUAUGGUAUCUUCUUUCAACAAGUCACACGGGUUGAACUCUUUGAAUUCGAUGACCCCACGGGCUUCGAAUCUCACGGGAGUCGAGAUUUACUCGGUGCAGUCCUCUCGCGAGCCCACCCCGCGGGCUUCCAGCUUCAACCAGACGGAUUUUUACGCCAUGUUUAACGCCAGCAAGGCCCCAAGCCCCAAACACGGAUAUACAAAUAGCUUUCAAGGCGGAUUCGGGGACGUUUAUUCGGUGCAGUCAUCCGAAGGGGUGACGCCGACAACUUCGAAUUUCGAUGAGGAGGCGAUGAAGAUGAGUAAUAUGAGUAAUAAGAAGAGCGGGGCGAGGAGCAUGAGUGGUGAGAUCUUCAUUGGUGGUCCGGCCUCUUCAUACCUGCCUCCGAAUCCCUUGUUUUCAGGGUCUACGAGUGGCGGGCUGAAGAAGAAAGAUAGCGCUAGUGGUGGCGGUGGUGGUAGUGGUGGGGCAUCGCCUAAUAAGGAGCCUCAUAUGUUUGUUUGGAGUUCAAAUGCAUCGCCAGUUUCCGAAGGGAAUCUUAGACAUGCAAUUAAUCGAGCUGCUUCCACUGACUAUGGCGCUACCGAUCCUUCCAAGGUUGCAGGUCUUCGUAAACAUGAUAGUGCUGCUGCAUCGAAAGGUGAGCAAAUAAUUUUAUGAUCCCCAUCCCUCAAACCAAAUGUUUGUCGAUUUUGUAAAUUGCCAGAAAAGUACUUACAUCAGCAGUUUUUGUCAAUUGAUACCUUAUCGAAGGGACAAAAAUUUCAUUCUUCUAUAACAAAAUCAAGGAGCUUCGUUGAUCUCCUUGACAUAGAUCUGGUUUUUUUUCUCCACUCUUGUCAAAAUUCCUUUGUCAAUUACCAAACCGUUUCAUAAAUAUUUCGUUUUUCAACUUUUGUUUUCAUUUUUACUAAUAACAAUUAUCAAACAAGUUUUCAGUUCUGAAAAAAAAAGUUGCUCAAAACUAAAACCUAAAAUUGAGAAAUGAAAUAGUAAAGGAUCAUAUACUUGUUUUAAAUAAAAUUAUAUUUGUGAAAGAUCAUACAUAUAUUUGAGUAAACAACACCUUCUCAAACCAUUUAAGGAAAAAAAUUUGACGAAUCUAUCAGUUACUAGAUUAAUCAUACAUAGGUAAUGGAACUUAUUUUUCUAAUUUAAGGGUUAAAUCUUGAUUGUUAUUUGGUUAAUUUUAUAUCCUUGAUUACAUGUAUAGGUAUACACGAAUUAAUUGAGAAUAUGAGUCCUGGGAGUAAAAUGAGAGGAGAUAGCGAGCUUGAGAUAGAAGAAGGAUCGAAUAAAUUUCCACCGAGUGUGUCACCGUACAGUAGUAGUUGCCAAAAGAAGGUUGAUAUGGAAGGACGUGUAGCAAAGAAGCACCAGAUGCCUCCAGCAAGUGUCAUGACUAGGCUUAUUCUCAUCAUGGUCUGGAGAAAGCUCAUUAGAAACCCCAACACUUACUCCAGCCUUCUUGGCGUGGCAUGGUCUCUCAUAUCAUACAAGUACAUCUCUCUCUCUCUCUCUCUCUCUCUCUCUCUCUACAGUGAGUGCACCCAUCAUGCAUUGUGUAGAAAUCACUCAAACAUAUAACAAAUGGUAUCACAUAUUACGUGAACAAACCCUAUCUAGAGGUGAAAAUUAUUGGGUCUCAUCUUUACGAGAUAUGUGAUAAAAGGAAUGGGAUUAUUAAUUGUGGUAAGAUGGUUUAUAAAAAAGCAAUAUAUAAUUUGUAGCUCGAGUGUUUAGGAGCACUCUUCUUACACAUUUCAAAUUCAUUAUUCAGUUUUUCCACCGCUAGCAUCUUGUAUUAGUCUAUUAAUGUUAUCGAAAAUUGAUCCACUAAAAUGAAUUUCCCAAUUAUUGGCAGGUGGAAAAUCAAAAUGCCAACAAUUGUAAGUGGAUCCAUAUCAAUAUUAUCUGAUGCUGGCUUAGGAAUGGCUAUGUUCAGUCUCGGUAUAUAUUUAACUUCAGUUGACUUAUUAUAUUGACCUUAUUGUACCAUAUGUACUUCAAAUGAUUUUUUCUUGUUAAUUAAUGAUAGAUCAUCACUUAUAUUUCCAGGAUUAUUCAUGGCCUUACAACCAAAGAUCAUAGCUUGUGGAAAAUCUGUUGCAACAUUUGCAAUGGCUGUUAGGUUCUUAACAGGCCCAGCAGUGAUUGCUGCAACUUCUAUUGCUGUCGGUCUUCGUGGAGUUCUUUUGCAUGUUGCAAUAGUUCAGGUUCUCCAACUCAACCUUUCCAACCAUCCCCACAUUUCUAAAAUCUUAUGUUAACAGUUUUUUUAUCAAAUGGAAACUGCAUCAUAAUCCAUUCACAAGGGCCUCCACAAACCCUAAUACAUAAUACAAUGCCUAAUUUAACACAACGUAAUUAGAUAUGCACACUAUAUAUGCCACAAGAUUACAUAUGUAAUUAAUUGCUUAAUUUCAUUUUUCUUUCUGCAGGCUGCUCUUCCUCAAGGCAUAGUUCCUUUUGUAUUUGCCAAGGAAUACAAUGUCCACGCGGACAUACUUAGCACUGCGUAAGUUUAUCUAUUUAUUUGAAGUACAUGAUGAAAAAGGGACAUGAUUUCCAAAUAUCCUGUUUUCUUUUCGUUUUUUUUUUCACAUUCACAUUCAUCUUUAUUUUUGUUUUUUAUUCUUCUUUAUUUAUAUAAUUUAAAAGUCAGAAAUAAGUAAGGGAUAUAAAAGCAUAACACUGUAUGUGAAGAUCACUUUUCUUAAAAAAAAUCUGACUUGAAUAUUAUGGUGUUGCAAUUAUUGCAGUGUUAUUUUUGGAAUGCUUGUUGCCUUGCCUAUAACAAUACUCUACUAUAUUCUUCUCGACCUCUAGUUUCUGAGACAAUCAAGGCAGAAGAAAAACACACACAACUGUAUAUCCAAGUCAGGCUUAGGUGGAUGGAGAGGAUCAAAAUGUCCUUCAGAAAGAAAUUCAUAUGCAUGCCAUUGGAUUCAGUGUUCAACAAAAUACACACCAUGCUCUGCAUCUGACAGCUGAGUACCUUGAUUUAGCGUUCACUUAUAUAUUUAAUUUUGCUACCUCGUGGUAGUAUUAUAUAUAUAUAUAUUUUUUUUUUUGGGUGCAGAAAUAUUAGUAUAUUAGUUUGGUUAGAUAGAAAUUAUGUAAUAGGUUACAGCUUAGAAUUAGCCAGAGAAAGGUUAAUUAAUUGUUACUUGUUUCUUUUUAUUCUUUGGGUGUAAAUUUUUAUGCGUUUAUGCACCAAUAUCAAUGUAGCUCUUUGCUUCACUUGGACACAAAUAGACCUAGCAUUCGUGUUGUGUUUCUCGUGUUCGUGUCGCUUUCGUGUCAUACCUGAUAGUUUAACGGGCUGUGUCAUGUAAUACCCGUUGAAGUAAAUGGGUAAUAUGACCCGAUCCGAAUUUGAUGUGAAAAUUACUUAACACACAAAUUAAACCCUAUUGUUGACAAUUAUAGCAAAGAUGUAAGUAGGGAUCGUUCUAGACCGGGGAUUAACUAGGGAUGCUAAUCACUCCUUUCUUGGUCUACUUCGGUUACAACUUGAUCUACGGUGAGAUCAGACCAGGUGCGAGAUUGUUAUCAGGUAAUAUGACCCGACCCGUUACCCGUUAAGAAAAAUAUUUUUUAAAUCAAUAAAAAUGAAAAUGAAAAACAUAAUUUGACCCAAAAAAUGUAAAACAUAAUACUAAAUUAGUAUAUACAUACUAAAUUUCGGAGUUAACCCUUUCAUGAAAGUUGUAAAACUUUUCAUUACGAGUUAUUACAUUUUUCACACUUCUACAAUAAUUAUUAUUAAUUUUAUUAAUUUUGCACUCAAAUAAAAAAUAAUGUUCAUGAGAUUUGGCUGGUUUUAAAAAUCUAAACGACCAUGUAACCAUCGUCUAAGCGUUGAGGAUGCAAUUAUGAACGUUUAUUAUACUUUCACAUCUUUCAGACUUAUACAUUAAUGAUUAUAAAGAAUUUUGUUUAUUUUGAACUCCCUUAAAAUACUAUUCAUGAGAGUUUGUAUGUUUUUAAAAAUUCAAACAAUCAUAUACCCAUCCUCAAAGCGUAGAGGAUGCGACUACGAGCGUUUGCAUAUAUUUUUCAUAUUUUUUGCACAUGUAAAUUAAUUAUUUUUUUUAAAUUUGUUUGGUAUUUUUAAAUUACUUGAUAUUUUUAUUUUUAAUGUGUUUUUAUGAUUUUUAAUCUCAAUCUUUGCCUAUAAUAUACUAUAAAAAUAAAACUUAAAUUUUAAAAUUUAUAGAGAAUAAUAAUUAAUAAACAAUAUAUACAAAUUCAUUAUAUCUAUUGUAUUUUAUAGUAAGUUUUUUUUAAUAGUUUAAAAAAUUAAAAUAAUCAAAAUAACUUUUUCCUUAUCGUGUUGAAAUAGAUUACUCACGUGUCACUCUCAUGUAAACUUGUUAAAGACUCGUUAUUAUCGUGUGACCCGAUUAGUUAUCACGUUGAUUCGAAACCCGUUAUUUUCGUAUCGUUUACGUGUCGUGUAAAAAAUUACCAAGUCUAGACACAAAUCCAUGCAGUAAAUAUAUAUAUAUAUAUAUAUAUAUAUAUAUAUACAUAUAUUUCGACCUAGUUUUAUUUAGUUGUACUUUUUUAGGUGGUAGUUCGGGUUUUUGAAGAAGAGCCUGCAGAGGCUUAAGGUUGCAGAGGGUGAUUUUUUUUUCAUUAAUUAAUUAAUUAUUAAUAUUUAUUUUUUCACCCCAACGUGGUAAAUUUGGUGGGCCAAAGCUGCGCCAUAUUAUCAAUUAAGGAAGCAUUUGACAGAUAUACUAUCGGAAAUAUAAAUAUUGUACAGAAAUCAAUCUUUUAAGUGUGAAAGUGAAACAAAAUAUUAAAAGUAGCAAAGUACAAAUUUCACAAUAUUUAAAGAUAAUAAAAGUGACAAUUAUCCUGUUUAUUAACACCAAAUACUAGCUUUUAAAUUUAUAGAUUCACCCAAUCCAGUUCAGCUCCACAUUAUAUUAUAUAUAUAUAUAUAUAUAUAUAUAUAUAUAUAUAUAUAUAUAUAUUAUACCUAUACUAAAACCCCAAUGACGUUGUACUGUUCACAGACAGUGCGCGGACCAAAAUGCCCCUCAAUUCGUUUGUUAAGCCACUUUUUGCCAUCUUUUUUACAGUAAAAUGACUUCCUUGCCCUCCUAGGCCAUUCUUCUGUCAUCGUGUUUAAAGCAAUUGAUGGCAGGCAAAAAAUAUAUUAAAAAAUGUGAAUUAAAUCCGGCCACAUGUUGUGUGGCACGACAAACUAUAAAAAUUUAUAAAAAAAAUUAGAGCAGGGAAAGAAAAUGAUUAAAAAUGGUGAGGCCGGUUUGGUGCUCUUCUACACCACGUGUCCACCAUCCGUGACCGUGAAGCCUUUCUUUUUUUGAAAGUUUUAACGAAAAACUCACAGUACUGUUCACUUUAACAAAAAAAAUCACAUUUUUACAUUAAAAAGUCAAACUUGAUAAUAUUCACUUUACCUUUAUUUUGUCCUUAUCAUUAAAACUCAAAGUUUUCAAGGUCUUUUCAUAAGUUUUUUUUUUCUUUUAACCUGUUCUUGGUUUUUUAAACCCACACACAUGAUAUGUGGUACAGAAAAAGAUAAACAAAUGAUAAAAAAAUCGGUUGUAGGACGAAAAACUGAUUAAAAAAUAUCAGAUAUUCAACCCGACCACAGGAUUGUGGCACAAAAAGGAUAAAAAAUGAUAUUCUAUUCUAUAUAUACUAAAGCUCAGCGGAUGGGUACUGUUCAUUAACAGUGCCCAUCCGGUUUUACCCCUCUUUCAUUUUUGUUUGCAGCUUGCUCCCGUUUGAAAGGUGCUUUUUGGUGUUUUUGGUUGAGCUUUGGCCACGUUGCGUUUUGUAGGAAAGAUACUGGAAGAGCAUUACACCUUUACUUCCACUUCCAGCAUCUUUCACUUUUUCAUUUCCUGUUCUUUUCUUCUCUCUGUUUUUCCGUCUCUCUUUGCGUUUCUCUGUGUGUGACUCGCUGUUUUUAUCGCGAUCCGAUCGUUUAGAAGGGUGGUUGAUCUGUUUUUUCCCGCUGUUUUCCGCAGAGGAAUCGCAACGAUUUGGGUGCGUUGGUUGUUGUGUGCCAUUAUUCUGUGCUUGGUUGGUAAGAAUUUUUUUUAAUUGAUUGUUGUAAAAUUCGAUUCCUGCUAAGUGUUUUCUUUAUUUUUUCCUAUUUUGCGUGUGGAUCUUUUGUCUGAUUUUGUUUUUGGUUGCAGGAAACGUUUAUCUUCCAACUUUAGGGUUUUGUUGUGGGAGUUUGCAAACCCUUUCUGGGCCAGGUAUAUAGUUUAUCUUUGCACUGUGCUUUUUAUUAGAUCUUGGAAUUCACAUUUUCGUUUUUUUUUUCUUGGGUUUUCUUGGUUUCCUGAGAAAAUUGGGGUUGUUUGGCUUAUAUUAUAUUGCACAAAUUUGAGCUAAAUUUUACUGGGUUUGUAUUUGUUUUUGGAAUCGGUCUCCAACAAUCUUCGUGAUCUUCACGUUUUUUCUUUUUAAAGUAAAAUUUUAUGUUCUUCUUUUCUUGAUGGAUAUGCUUUUGUUUGUAGGUUGAUCAUGUUGUUUCAUUUUGUGAAACAGUGUAGCCUUUGUCAAUCAAAUGCUUUGCUGAAACAUCCAAUAUGAAGAAUAAAAUAACUAUGGUAAGAAGCAACCUAAUUUCAGAAAUUUUAUGUGAUUCAGUUUUUAAAUUAUAAUCUUCUAAAAACCUUUUGUAGAUUGCAGAGCCAUUGGAGAGAGGACUUGCUGAGGACAUUGAGAAUGUAUAAAAGCUACAGUGUUCGUUUCUGCAUUGCAGGUUGAGUAUAAUUUCCUAGAUUUGAUUUAUGCCUUCAAUCGUGUUAAGUCGGUUAAAUGUACUAUUUGGUUUUUGGGGUUGAAUAAUGAUAUCUGAAUCUUGGGUUUAAAAUUUUUGUAGCCUUGAGUUGAACUUGAUCCAGAGCUAAUGCAAAUGGAUUUUAUUAUUCCUAUAUAUAAAUGAAUGAUGGCUGUUGAAAUUUUUUUCAUUUAUUGAUAUCGUAGUUUGCCAUCGUCUGUCCGAUUCCUUCAUGUAAAAGUAUUACUGAUAAUUAAUUACAACUGUAUUAACAUUUUGUUUCAGUUGUAACUUCUUUUUUUUUUCUCCGGAUGAUCCAAAUUGUUUUAUUUGCAAUGAACGCUUAAAGGAAAAUGUGCUCUUAUGGGAUAUUCCAUGUUCAAGUAAUUAUACAAAUGAAGCACUGGGAUGACUGUCAAUGAGGAAUACUAGACUAGCCAUUUUUGUAUAUCAAUGACAAGGCAUUUGACAAUGUCUUUUCUGUAAGUCAUAUAAACUUAGACAACUUUGUAAAAAUAUUUGCUCCAUUUUCUACAUGUUUAUCUUAGUCUUUGGUUAUUUAUAUGUUAAAAAUAUAGUCUAUAGUUAUAUUUUCGCUCCCCCAACACCGUGCGGGUAAAAUUUACUAUUAUAUACUAAAACCCAAACUCUGGUGCACUGUUUUUCACUGUUCGUGAACAGUAAAAGGGCGGAAAUGCCCCUGAUUUUUUUGUUUGCUUAGCUGUUUGCUGCUGCUUCCCACAGCUAAAAGACGCCUUUGCCCUUCUAACCCAUGCGUCUGUCUUUCGUGUGUUUUUUGGUUCCAUCUUCUUUUUGGUUCUAUCCUCUUAUACACGUGUUGCUCACCGUUGCUCUUUUAGGCUGCACGCGUUGAUCAUCGUUGAAGGAUCUGCUUGGAUUUCUUCUCGACCUUUUCUUCUGUGUUUCUUUCUCUCUCCCAUAGCAUUUUGCUUUGUUUCGAACCUGGCUUUCUUCCUCUCUCGCACUACCCCUUUUGUUGCUGUCUAAUGUUUCCGUCUUUGUCUCGGCGCGAUCAUCCACCGCCGUUUUUGUUGCUGGAAUAGUUUUCUGCUCCUGCGAAUUUCUUUGGUUCGAAAGCCUUAGGUGGCUACAAGUUUUUGCCAUUUCGAUUUCAUCGAAAUUCAUUCUUUUCCUCGCGUGAUCUAGCGUUUUCGAGUGAGUUUUAGGUCUUUUUCAGUAUGCCUAAUUUAAUUUCUUUUUUGUGGUUUUUGAUUUGCAGGUGGAGGAGGUUGUGUUUGGAUUUUUUUUCCUGUGAUUUCGGGGUUAUCUCUGUGUGCUUUGAUCUUGCGUGUGGUUGUCUAAUUUGAUUCGAUUUUUUCUUUCAGGAAACACUGGUCAUAAAAUUUUAGAGCUUUUGUGUGCAGCGUUGGUAGCCCUUUGUGCUGAGUGUAUACAAUUUUUGUUUUUCCUUUUUGAGUCUUUUGUUUAAGAAUUUUUUUUUAUUUUUUUUGGGUGGCCUUUGGUCUGCAGAUUCAACCUCUAUUUAAAUUUUGGUUUUUUUUUCUUUUUCUAUUUUUUUCAAAAUUUGGUUGUUUUGUUUAUGUGUUCAGAUGCCUGAUUUUCCGACUAGGCGAUUCCGGCCGAUGACCAGAGAACUAGACCUCGCUACUAUCGGUAAACGAUGCCUCUUACUCCCAUGACAAUUAUUCAGGUAUUGCAUAUUGGAUUUCAAUUCAGUUUUUAGAAAACAGACAGGUAGUUCUUUGAUUCUGCAGGUGAAGAUAAUACACACGGUAACAGAGUACUCCUGCACCUCUAAAUAACGGGUCAACAACCCAACUCCAAACUAGCAAGCAACAGACCAUCCAUAACCCUCAUAAAGUCGAAUGGGCCACCACCAGGAAGGCCCCUCCAAACCCUCAGCAUCAGCAUCUUGGUAAAUCUCACUCAUGCUCUACUUCACAAGUUCAUUGUUAUUUUUCGUAAUAUAUUCUGAUUUCUAGAACUGUAAAUUUGGAUGUGGAAAUGAAUUUUCUGUGCAAAUUUGGAUAUUUGGAUGUUGGUUAAAAUUAGGGGAAUGGCUCCGAUUUUGUUAGUCAAUUAAUUUAAUUUUUUGUUUAUCUCAAGCUUCUAAAUGAUUUCCUGCAUCAUUGCUUAGUUUUACUCACUGAAAUUUGAGGGGUGAAUUUUUUACCUUAUGACCUCAUUUGUGAUUAUCAAGUGCAUAAUUUUCUUUUGAUCAGAAUUCCUUUGAAGUGAAUGCCAAACUGCGGUGUGAUGUUCAAACUUUGUGGCCUUUUGAAAUAGUUGGGAGCAUAAUUCAUUCUACUACAGAUUGUUCCCCUUUCCAUUUCCAUGAGGUAAAAGCUCAAAUCUCUGUAUUUUUGUGUUGGAGAAGUUGGUGGAACAAAUUGUGCAUUACUCUACAUAUGACCAAUGUCUAUCAUUUUACCUAUUUUGAUAAUGCUUGAAUUAUGCUUCUUGGUUUUUAAUUGGGUUUUUGUGUAGUGAGUUGGAUAGAUAGUUCAUAGCAUAGGUUUGGUUGCAUAUUUAUUGGACAAAGAAAAACACGGAGAGGCACAACACACUGAGGAUAAACUUUUUGUCUUCAGGUUAGCACUACUGCUUUUUCCUACUAGUCAUAGGAGUGCUAAUAGUGUUGAGAACAAUGCCUAAUUUAGUUUAACUUUUCUCAUUUUGAUAAUUACCUUUUCCACUGCCUUCUUGAACUUGGAAUUAGUUUGAUAGCAUUUUGGUUUUAAGCGUUUAUAAAAGUAUUUCAUUCAUUGAUCUAUUAACUCUUAUUUUGUUGAAGAUUUAGUGCUAAAAGCUAGGAGUUACAAGUAUUACAUUCCAUUCACCAAGUCAUUGAUAUAUUAACUCUUAUUCGCUAGAGGAUUGAGAUUUUAACUCUUCUCAUCUUUGCUGCAGCCAAUAACAAGAAUAAACAUUCUCCAUUGCUUCGCCUGCUUCUACCAACAAAUUGAAACCUAAACAUUAAAAUUUCAUCACUAUGAUUUCACCCAUUUAUCAUAAAAUUGGUAGACAUAACUUCAUACCAUCUCAGAGCAGAAAUAAAGGUUUUAAUUUUCUUUUACUCUGUUAUUGCUCACUCUCUGUUUACUUUUCCUCAAUUUAAGUCUCCAAACAAGCUACCGUUUGUAAGUCCUAUCAAUCUUCAAUUUUUAUUUUUCUUGCUUUGAUUUCAGUUUUUUAUUACUAAUUUUAAUCAUUUGUGUCCACUACUGAUAUCUUGGUAUGUUAGUUUGAAAACGUGUCCCUUUGAAUUGUAAAAUCUGGCAAAUUAUUUGAAGCAAUUUUGAUUUCAGCUUUUUGGUCUUUACAAAUAGGAAGAUGAGGAGACAAAAAUAAGUACAAAGGGAUGGAUUUAGCUUCCACUUUUGAGGUUCCAGGCACCCAAAAACUGUCGACUGGUGAGCUCAAAAAAAAAAAAAUUUCCCAAUUUGAUAUAAAGUUUGGAUUUUCAAGUCGGGAUUGGAUUUAAUUGUACAUUUAAUUUGAUGGGUUCGAUUUAUAUGCAAGGACUUUGCUUUUAUUAAUGCAUAAAAUACUAAUUAAAUUUUAAUUAAGAUGCUAACUUUGUAGGUACCCUGGAAUUAACAAUGUAGCUGGAGUUCUCUACUGGCUUAAGCACAGUAGAGAACUCAAGUACAGAUCUCUCUAUCUGUUUCUCAAUCCUAGAACCUCUAGCCUCCGCAAGAAGGUUCGUCUCUCUCGCUCUCUCUCACUUUUUUUUUUAAUUCGUAAUCGAAUUUCCUUUGCAUAAAUGCUAGAUCUGUUGCAGUAGGGCCGCAAAUCCUACCCUCUGUUUGUUACUUUGUUCCAAUUCUUGCAAUCAAUUUUCAUCGUUUAUUUGGUCAAUUCUUGCAUUGUUUUAUUUGGUGAAUUCUCGAUUAACGACUGGUUCUUCUUGCUUGGUCUAAUUGGGUAACUUAAGAAUUUCAUCUGUUGAUUAAAUUUCAUGUGAGAAUUUUUUUUUCCUGAUGGAUCCUUUUUUUUACCCUUAUUCAAUUUUUUUUUAAUUAUGUAGCCGAAUGAGUUCGGUAUUCCUUUGGAGUCUCUGCAAGUUUAAAGUAAUCUAUGUUGUUGUUUUGAUUGUGCGUUUUGAGACUUACGCUAUUUUAAUAAGAAUGUUUUCAAUUUAGUGUAAUCUCAAUCUCAAUGGGUUUUUAUGAUACGCUUUAUCAGUGAAUUUAUUUACAUUUUUCAAUGUUGGUCUCGACGAUUUUGAUCACUACACUGUGGAUUUUAUUUGAAUUCCCAAAUUUUCUCGAACAUUUGACAAAUGCUUCUUGAAUAAAUUUCGAGUAAAGAACAUCUAAAUAUGACAAUAACAUCUAAAUAUGACAAUUUCAGGGUUUCAAAUUCAUUGGAAAAUAUGAAAUAAUAUUGCAUAGUUUUUUAUUAAUGUGAAAAAUUGGUACUUUUGUAGUGAUAUAUGCUUUUCUAGAAAGUUGUAAAGUUUGAUACUUUCCGGCUUUAAUCUAUUUUUUCCGUUGUCCUAAGGUAUAGAUCCCCGCAUUUAAUUUACUUUUUUUUUUCAGGAGCAGUUUGAAGGAUUAAAAUGUUGUCAUUUGGUAUAGAUGAUCUUGGUUUAGCAAAUUGAUAGCGAGAUGGAACACCCCUAACUGCGUUGUAAGUUCGACUCACUCAUCCUAUAAGAGUUGCUUCAUAAUUGUAAUAUUCAAAACCAGAUGACUUUUUCAGUUAUGGUUCGAUUAUUAUUUUCCUUUUCAGUUGUUAUUCUUCAUUUUUGAUGUGGUUGCUGUUUGUGAUUUCCAUUCCAUGUGAUCCAUACUCUCAGUUUUCUUUUCAGAAUUCCUCUCUUUGCCUUUUCCCAAUGUUAAUAUUUUUCUCCAUGAUAGAAAUUUUGGGGUCUAUGUUAAUGUUUUAUUUUAUUUUUUAAAUUUAGAUCCUACAAGUUCAAGGCAUUGAUGAUGGAAUUAAAUUCAACGCUGCUCAUUAUUCCUUAUUGUAGAUAAGGUUGUACAGGAGCAAGAUGUAGCAUCGCGCGGGCAGUCUUGCUAGUAUAUCCUAUAAACCAUUCCAUCCUAAUAAAAAGGAAAAUUUCCUAUACAAUUUAAUCAUUAUCGGUUAUGGGGUAGGAGCCCUCAUCAUAGUUACCAUGAUCCAUGUCAAUAUAUUGCAAACGACCCAUUUUUUAUUUGGUUCCAAUUGAACGAAACAGUCCAUCUUAAGGUUACCUUCUAAGAAUCAACCAUCUACAAAAUCAUCUAUGCACAAAUCUGCACAGUUCAGAUAAUUUUUCCAGAAAAUAAUUGAUAACGUAAGUAAAAAUUAGAUAGUUUCGAUCAUCUAAAUGCAUCACGUUGCACCGCAAUAAAUAGAUGGAUAUUUGUAUAGCCAUUAGGUUAGAUCAUGAUCCAAAACCACGCAUGUGUGGAGUUCCUUGGUAUCACCUCAGUGGCGAAGCUACAUGAGGACGAGGAGUAGCGGCCGUCCCUCCCUUCGCCGGAAAACAUGCCUAGGAGCGCUAGUUCAGCCUCUCUGCUCUCGUCGAAAAUGAGAAUUUCCGCUCCGAUGAUUUGGUUUCUGCUGCUGUGCAGCAAAGAUGGAUUUGUUUUUUUCCUCUUUUUUAUUAGAUUUUGGAGAAGGAAAUCUGAAAAAAAAAUGUAGUUGCACACGGACGGAACUUGCGAAGAAGAUGAAGGUGUGUUUGAUAUUCCCUAUACCAAACGGUGUCGUUUGGCAAUGCUGAUCAUUUUUUUAUAUUUUUCUCUCUUAAAAAUUAAAACUGAUUGUACAGACACAUUUGUUUACAUUUUUUUCUCUUAAAAGUUAAGACUGAUUGUACUGACACACCCUUCUCCUUCGGUCCCUUCUGCCCCACUUUGUUUUCCCAUUUCCCCCUCCUCUUUUUUUCUAUUCUGACCGCACCUUUGUUUUGGUUUGUUAAUCAAUUUCUUUCUCUUUUUUAUUUUAUUUUUUAUUAUCUUUCUUGUAUGUAUUUUCCCUCUUUUGAAUACCUCAACAUAUGUAUUUUAAACUCUCACAUUAUCUAUAAAUAUUGUAUUAAUUUUUAAAAAAUAAUAUAAAUAUUGUUUAAUGCUUAUUUUACAAUAAAAGAAAUUCAUUUAAAUCCAUCUAGGCUCCUACCUAAAUCUCGCUUAGGCGCUGCAGGCUCCAGUCCGCUGCCUGACUAGUGCUUAACGUUUUUUUAGAAUCUAAUCCUAACUAAUUUAAGCUUCUUACAUGGCUUUAAUAUUACCGUUUACAACCGCUUUGGUGAAGAGAUGGUUUGCUGUUAUGAAUAUUGAUUCAAAAUUUUGCACUCUCCAAUGUGAAAGCAACCAUUUCAAUUGAACCUUGCACUCUUUGGAAUUUCGCCCCUCCCCUCCGUAAAUCCUGGCUUCGCCAUUGACCUCAAAGGUGAUCUUGCCAGCUCUUCUUAAGCAUAAAAAAUAUGGGAUUUAGGAUGAGAUUCUAUGGGAAAUUAAUCAAUAAUAAGAUGUAGAAACUUGAAGACAUUGGACAAGGAAAAGUAUAUAAUUAUUGUUUGUUAUGCAUCUAUGUUAUUAUUGACAUAGUUUGCGUAUAUAUUCUAACGCUUUCUCACGUGAUGAAGCGAAGGAGUGUCGUCUAUUAUGCACAUGAAGGUGUUUUUCUUUGUAAAUCUGUCUUCUCUCUGAGACGUGUCUGCAAUACACAAAACAGAGAUAACAGCUCCUGAAGAAAUUGAGUUACACAUUUACAUUUCCGAAUGCCUAGAAUACCGAUAUUUACAUAUUAUAUGCAGAUUGUAAGGGAAAAUUAAUGAUUUUGUAAAAAGAAAAAAGAAAAGAAAGGUAUUAAUGUUAUAAAUUUAUUGCAUAUUGAUGACAAAUAUGAGAAUCGUUGUCCUAAAGAAACUAUGCGGAUUACUUUUAUGAAUUACUUAUUUUCAUGAUUUAGUGAAAAACAAAUUAUCCAGUUCGAAAAUGUGACUACGGGACAGAGGUUCAGGGCCGAAGGGGUAGAGGAAGACCUAGGAAAACUUUGGAAGAGACCCUAGGAAAAGACUUGAGUACUUUGAUCUAACGGAGGACAUGACACAAAACCGAGCGCAAUGGCGUUCUAGGAUUCAUAUAGCCGACCCCACUUAGUGGGAAAAAGCUUUGUUGUUGUGUUGUUGUUGUUGUUGUUGUUGUAGUGAAAAACAAAUUAUCUAUUAACAUUGUUUUGUGAAAAACAAAGUACCUAUUAUUUAAAUUUCAAAUGAAACAAUGUACCCUUUUCUUGUUCGAAAGAGCAACAAUCAUUAAACAAUAUAUAGUAGUACAUUUGAAAUCAAAACUAUAAGCAAAUAGUGAGAAGAUAUAAACGACGCUGCUUCAAAAGCUGGCGGCGUCAAAUCCUGCUCUUACUUUGAUCAGAAGCUGUUUCUGAUGUACUUGGUAGACCAUCCUUGUUCAAUAAAUGCACCAACGAAGAUGGAGGCCUGUUCAGCCAAACCAGAUUGGUCAUCCCCAUAUCAAACUGCAACGCAAAAGAGUGUGCUGCCGUAUUGCCUGUUCUUGGAACCCAAGACCAGUGACAAACUUGGAAGACAUUCCUAAUCUCCAUAAUCUAACAAAGAACUGGAAAAAUCUCCCAAUUGCCAUCUUCCACUUCCAUCUUCAACCACCUUAUAAUAUUUUGCGAGUCAGAUUCGACAAUGAUAUCUUGACAAUUCCUGUUCUUCGCAAAUUUACAACAUUCAAGCACCGCUAAUGCCCCAGCCAUGAUAGCGAUGGAACCUGCGAAAGGUCUGUGACAUUCCGCUCAUGGAUGACUCACCUCGCAACCCUCCAUGGCAGAAAUAAAAGCUGAAGAAGAAGCAGAGAUUGCAUGUAUCACCUGGAUUGGAGAAGGCAAUUUGUUCUUCAUCACCGCAUUGCAUCGGGCCUUCCAUAUUUGCCAACAAGUAAAAGCAAUGUGUGUCAAUAUUCUCCUUUUCUCCUCCUCCACUGGUGCCGUCUCCAUCACUCUGAGAAACAAGCAUCAAGUUAGUUAUAUAUCGCCUUCUCCACCUAGUAAUUUAGGACUCCACCUAACCAAGCCAAUUCUACACCCUGUUCUUCAUAAAUCUACCACUAAUAUACCUUGAAAUUUGAGAAUCUUUUAUUUCAAUCCAAUCUUAGAGACUAACACGACCAUAAAUUAGUUAGCACUUAAGAAAGACCACCAAUGAAACUGUUGCUUAUUGUAGGGAAAUCAAAUCACAUUAACAAGUAUAAAGGAGGAUUAAGAAGUUUCAUUGGAGCCCUACCACCAAUGGAUCGAUCAUGUAGAAAAUUUCAGCUGGAUUUUCUCUUCUUUUUUUUUUUUUUUAUUUAUUAUUAUUUUUUUUUUUUAACAAGAUAGUAUUUACACUAGUGAGUGAGGGAGUGAGCUUAGCCUCACACUGGGCUAACCAUAAUAAUGUGGUUCAAAUUCAUCUUUGAUAAGAAUCGAAACUAAAAUCUUUUACUUACAAGUGAAAAAGAAUACCACUAGACUGUAGUAUAAGUGACAACUGGAUUUUCUCUUUUCAAGCAAAACUGUACAAAGGCUCAAUAGACUUAUUAUUAUGUAAAAUGCCACACUAACAAACUUACACCAAGUAUAAUUGUAAAACUUCAGACCAAUGCUUUGGCAAAAGAAUAGAGAGGUACAAGAGUUUGGAAAACUUCAUCGCCAAGAUGUAGUAAAAGGAAAACCCUGUUACAUACAUAAUCGCCAUGCUCGGUUUUAUUUAAGGGGUUGAUUUCCACCCUUGAGAAGGAAUGACAGAAACAGACUCACAAAAACCAGUAGCCACGCCGUCAAGUGCAACAUUUCAAUCAAACAAGAAUAAAAUGAAACACAUGAUUAAGCAGUAACCAGUAUAAAGAUAACGUUUGAUUCGCUAAUAUAUAUACAGUGUUCAAUUGCAUCCAAGACAAUGUUGGAGAACCCAAUCGAAUCUACAAAACCUUGGAACAGGUAAUGCAAUAUAGACUAACACCGGAUCAGCGGACUAACACCAAACUCUAAUUCAUGGUAAGCAUGGAUAGAGCUUUGCCUUUAAAAUCAGAAUCGAAAUUUUUGAAUCUAAAGACAAACAAAUGAAACAAUGCCCCAAGUUAGUGAUGAGUUAGAUCUUGUCUUGUAUCUACCUUAAUAAGUUAGACAGAUUCCGAACCAUAAUUUCCAACGUGGGUGUAGCUGUUUUCUUUAGAUUUUGGUAAAGAAGACGCUUGCCGAGGGAAAGUUUUGUUUGAUUGCAGCUUCAAAUUAAGGUAAGUGUAAAUGGACAUUCCGGCAAUGGCUGUGAAAGCCCCAGAAAUGCUUGUCUUGCCUGGAUUGGAACUAAAGAGGUAAUAGUUUCCUAGAAGAAUGACGCAUGUUUUAAAUUGACCAAGAACGACAUGUGUGACAGCAGAUGUUGCCCUGCCAAAGAUGAAAGAAACAAAAAAAAUCAAGCAUGUCAAAACCAACCGAACCAAGCAAAAUAAGAUUUUCAUGCUAAAAUUCACAAAGUAAAACCAAGCAAAAUAAGAUUUUCAUGUUAAAAUUCCUUGUGAGCAAUGAAUUGAGUGCUAGCCUAGUGUUGUUAUGUGCGGGUAAUAAUCUUUAAGUAGUAAAAAUUAUGUUGGUAUGUGUUGUUUAAUCCUCACACUUAGCUAUAUAUCAUUGGUAGUUGCCUAAGAUUGAUAAAGAUAACAUCCAAUUGUUGCCCAUUUUCAGCUAGAGUAUGCACUUUCAAGAAUUUUGUUGCUUGGUCCACUAGUUUUACAAGUGCAAUGUUGUCGAUACGGCUGAUUUGAUAGUCAUGAGGUGUUACAUGACCCCAAAAUCAAGUGAAAAGGCUUUGAUCCACUAGACAAUGGACAAAUAAAAGAGUAAACUGCCAAUUUGACCCUGAAUUAUUACCCAAGUGAAAAUCGAGUUCUUGAACCAUUUUUUCAAAAUAAUAAGUCCUUAAGUUCAUUAAAAGCUUCCAACUUCAUCUCUACAAUAAGAUUCGAAGUUAUUAUAUUCAAUUUUCCAUCAAUUUAAGUCAUGGCUUGCACGUGAUACAUUUUAAAGGGCAAUGCUGUCAUUUCCUCACCCUUAGCCUUGUAUAUAGGUUGCGAAUCUAACUUCCAACUUACACUAUAAAGCUAACUCCAUACACUAAUCUUUUUCAAAAAAAUGUCCUUCCCGAAAGGCCAAUUUAUACUUUUUUUUUUUUUUUUAUCAAUUUGAGAGGUGACCAAUUCUGACAGUGUACUAAAUUGACUAGUUUGCUCAUGCUACUGACCAACGUAAACUGUAAACUAACAACAUCGGAGGUCAAAACUCUUCUUCCGACCUAAACUAUGGACCCAAAAAUCCACACAUAGGAUAAUCAGGAAGAACAAACAGAUAUCACAUACCCAAGUGCUAGAGCGCCUGACCACUGAAGCAAGAAGCCAAGAAUAGCUGACAUGAGAAUUGCCAAGGUGUUGUUGAAGUUCCAAUUGAAAGAUAGGGCACCAGGUGGAUCUAACCAAGGGAUUAGUGCGACAAGGAAAAAUAGAGUGAUUGGCGUUGUCUUCCACAUUAAUCUGUUCAACGAUUUGCAUUUUAGUUCAAUAUCAAGGAGAUUCCAGUAACUUAAUGGUUUCGAAGGGAGCACCACUUACGCUAAGGCUGUCCAAUUUUCCUGCUGUUGCAAGCUAGACCAAAGAAUUUUGUUGACUGCACUUGGUAUUAUCCAUGCUAAUGCUAUACAAGCACCAAAGAGAUGAAAUUGCAGAUCAGUUACUGUAGCGACGGCAACACCAAUCGAUACUACUGUAAGUGCUAGAACCUGAAAUUUCGUAGCAAGGUGUUAGAACAAAAAGGAAAAGCUGUUGUAGAUGACUUGUGCAUAAAAUUUUGUAUGAGAAGAACAAUGAUUAAAAAAUGAAAAAAUAAGGGAAUUAAUCAAUUCCAUGUGCAAGGAACCCAUACAAGCACCCUACAUACUAAUGUAUCAAGGCCGAAAGAAUUAAGUAAUGCAUUUGGAUAUGCAUGCAAGAUUUCCUCCAUAUCUCUAAGAGAUCUAAAAUUCUGAUGUAAAACUUGAUAAACGCAGAAAUGGUGCCAAGAAACAAUAAACUCAUGGUGAACAGAUCUACUCAGCAUAUUUCUACUGAUAUAGUAAAUUACCUCUGUCAGCGGCUAAUUCCCGGGUUUACAAUCUAAUACAGUUUCCAAAUAGUAUUUUUUCAUAAUAGGUGGGACGAGUUGGAUGUGAGGUCUACAUCCUCCACAUUUCAGAGUCUUGAGAGAAGAACAAAAAAAUUAUUGGCGAUAGUGAAGACAUUACCCGAAUUUUCAAAAACAUGUAAACCAGAUAUGAAUAACCUUUUCAGUAACAAGUGCAACUGGACAGGAAUUGUGGCGGAACUUUGUGUUCUACAGUCUGCUAAAACAAUAACUCGGCCCGAAUAGCAGGAAUAUAAAACUGUGUUUUAUUUGCAUAUUGACAUGGCACUUAAAGGCAUAAACGAAAGGAGCUACCUUCGAGAAAGAAACUCUCUUGUUGUACAACAAAAAUUCUGCGAGAACAAUUGAUGGCGUAACCGCAAUUUUAGACAUCUGAUAAAACCCCACACUGAAGAAAUAGAUAUUAAAAUCAAUGUUGAAAACAUAUAUAUAAUUAUGAAACAGAUUCUGAUGAGAUUUGGUAAGGGUAAGAAUAAUGAUGAAGCAUCUCACCUAUUAUACUUCAAGCUAACAUUUGCAAGGCCAGUAGAGAAAGCCAUGACAAAGCCAAGAGUAAAUAAUGUAGAUGAGCGGGUCGAUUUUGAGGGACAUGCAGAGAGGAUACAAAGAGCAUUUAGAAGGGCCAUUAAUAACCAGCUUACUACAUAGUGGAUAAAGGUGAGAAAUAUAGGAAACUGGAACCCAACAACUUUGAGCACCUGAAGAAACACAAGAUUGUAAGUUACCAGCCGGAAAGCCGCUGUUUUUAUAUCCAGUCAGGCAAAAUGCGGAUAGAUUAGAAUAAAGAGAGUUCAGCAUACGAACCAAUUUGUUCACGAAAAUUAUGCCAACGGCAAUUACAAAAUUGAAGGUAAGAGCAGUGGCAGGGCCACAUAGCUGUUGUUGUUGACGCCUUGCACCAUCGGAUGAGCGGAAUUCAUUAAAAAGAACAGAUCGCAAGUCUUCUAGAGCUCUUCCUGAGUUCAUAUACAGAAAAUAGAGAAGAAAAUAAACGAUAUCAAUGAGCAACAACAUACUAGAGAUGUAUAACCAAGUUAUAUUCCCUACAGAAUCAAAGUCCAAUAAUAAUAAGAUAUGAUUGUCUCUCGUGGCCGAACUUAACAAACUGUAAUACCUACUUAUGAAAAAUAACAAAUGUCAAUCCUUACAUUUUGUUUUGCUCAACAUACAGAUAAUGUAUAUGAUGGUCAUUUAUAAUAAAUAUCCAUAUGCACAUUUCAGCUCAGUAAGAAAGGACUAUCAUAUACAUGAAUUCAUUAAGACUGGAAACGAGAUAAUAUAAUUUUCCUAGAAAAUUAUAUUGGAUGUAAUAUGCUUAACAAAAAUUGGACACUCAGGAAAAACAAAUCAAAAUGUAAAUAUCCGAGCCAAUAAAUAAAUAAAAUUAUAUAUUUCGUUCAACAAAAAAUCAAACAAACAAACAAACAAACAAAAUAGCUAAGCAUAAAAAAAAAUUUAGAAUUAAGUACCUAAAAUCCCCCAACCUUUUAGUGUCAUUCUAAAUUGAUCUCAACCUUUUUAAACAAAUUCAAACAAGCACCCAACUUAUUGAAAAUGUCACACCGUUAAGCCCCAGUUAAUUAUGUUGAAAAUCCACCAAUUGGGUAUAUCAUGGUCAACAUUAAUAUUCAUUGUCUCAAAAUCUAUAUUUCAAACAUAAAUUAUAUAAUAUGGAAUCCAAUGAUAAACAAGUAUUGAAUUGAAUCGAAAAUGAAUUCAAAUUAAAAUUACAUCAGGAAUGCAAUCUUCUAAUAAAGAAAGGGAUAAGAAUUCGGAUAGGGUUUCAAGGAGCUUAUUUCUGCUCAUAUGUUUUUUUUGUACAUCGAUUCUCGGCUUGUAAAGCUUUCAAUUCUUCAUUGUGGGCAGUGAAGAAGGUGCCGGCCAGAUCAUGGUAGUCCAUACCAUUUCAGCAACCUCCAUGACCUUCUUCCCAAUGUUGACGGCUUGAGUUGUAGGAUGGAGUUAGUGGUUUUGCCUUGGGUUUGGAGGUGAUGGCAUAAUGAGGGUGGUGGUGACCGUUAGUUGACUGAGGCUAUGCUUCCAUGACUUUCUAUCGAUUUUGGAGACAAAAUAACCCUAGUUAAUUUAACAGUUUUUUAUCUACGGCUUAACAAAUGUUAUAUUUUCAAUAAAUUGGAAGCUUAUUGGGAAAAAGGUUAAAAUCAAUUUGAAAUAACACUUCAAGUGUCGGGGUACUUAAUCCAAAAAUUUAUUCACUCGUUUUAACCAAACUGCAAUAUAAAUAUAAACUACAUGAAUAAGGAGAUUUUUAAUAAAUAGCUCACGCAAAUCAGUCAAUGCAAUGAAUAAGCAGACAGAUAUUAGAAUCUGCAAACAAAAAUAGCAAAACUCACAAGCAACAUGUUUAAACCUUAAAACUGAAUUCAACAAAAUUAUGACUCACAAAAACGAAAGCCACAAAAUUUGUGAGAAAACCCAGAUCAACAAACCCUUCAUUCGUAGCUUAUUGGAUGAAAAUACAAUUACCCAAAUGGGCAAAAAUGUGAGGUAAAAUCCCCGAAAGGGUCCACAUUUCAAAAAAAUUCAAACCAAAAUAAUUUCUUUCAAGCUAGCUGCUGCAGUGAGAUUGGAAUUUGUAGAAGUGGCAAACGAUACCUCUUUCACCAGCAUCACUAUCCUUGCGCUUGAGAAUCUUCCUAACGCCUUUCCUUAGAAAGAAAUUUAACAUUUUUAUGGAUACAAAGCAUGAAGCUUUCGAUUUCUUUCACUCCCUCUCUCUCAGCAACAAUGGCAACGGCUCUAUUUUUGGGUUUCUAGAUAGAGAAAGGAGAAAGCUAGGAGAGAGAGAGAGAGAGAGAGAGAGAGAGAGAGAGAGAGAGAGAGAGAGAGAGAGCAGGGCCGGGUCAGCAGCACAGCAGGAGUACUAAGUUUUGAGUUGGAAGAGAGAGAAAGACAAGGAUUUAAGAAAGAAAUAGGAUUCCGUCCCUUUCCUUUCUUCCUCUUAUAUUUUUAAUUUUAUCUUUCUCUUUCUACAUAAAAUUAAUUUAACAUGUUGACGUAAAUUAACCUUGAUUGUUCAAAUAGUAAAGGGCAAGAAAAAAGAGAAAAAAAAAAAAAAAAAAAUCCCACUCCUUCGUGAAAAUGGCGAAAAGGGAAAUCCAUUUGUGAGACAGGAGGAGAAAGAUGUGUGUACAGUGGACAGCGGUGAUGGCGGAAAUUUGAGGUUGUCUGUCCGAGGGAGAGACUGAGAAAAAGAAAACAAAAGCAAAAAGAGAUUGAAGAAAUCACGCGUACAUCCUACUCCAGAGUACCGACAGCUUAGCACUGUUUAUUAUGUUUUUUUUUUCGUUUUGUCAUAAGGGAAAAUUUGUCUAUCAACGAAUGUGACUUUAUCUCAACAAUAUUUAAAAAUAAAAUAAAAAUGUGAGUUAGGUUUAAAAAAAGUUUGUGGGCACUACUCAGUAGUAUUAUUUGAGAGUAUUCCUCUUCAUUUAGAAGUGAGAGAUUUUAUAUUUAAAUUUUGUAGAUAGCGAAUUUGAUAUCAAAUCAGGCUGCCCAUUAUGUGGCCUUGCCGAACUCCCUCUACCCUUAGUGUAAAAAAUAUCGAUGUACUCAAAAAAAAAAUUUGUGGACAAAUGGAUGUAAUGACGGAUAAUAAUUAUGUCUAUAGAGUAUGCAUUCUGGUGUGAGUUUAACCACCAUCGAUUUCUUUUUCGCUCUACUCAAAAUUAAAGUUUUUGGAUGACCAAAUUUUAUGCUUUCAAUGUUUAAUGAAGAGAUUUUUUAAAAAGGAAAGGAGUUUAAAGUUUAUGAUAUUAUAUUUAUGAGAUUUAAAACAGUGGUAGUUUAUUAUUUUUUAUUUAUUUAAUUAUAUUAUUAAUGUGACAACCCGUCUCUAAUUUUACGAUAAUAUAAAUUUUAAAAGUGUGAAUUGAUGAAACUUAGAGGCAAGGAUUUUGACUACCGCUUACCAUUAUUUAGAAAGAUGUAUGACUUGUUCUUUUAGCAUAUUUGAGUAGUACUCGUCGAUACGAGCGCGUGAGCAUAAACGGAACGUAAUUUGGAGGUAUAACGAAGGAGUUACUAACGUUUAAAGUUUGGGAUAUUUUAGUAAAUUUGACCUUCACUCUAGAAGGCUCCAGAUGUUCUGGAGCAAUGUGAUGUGCCACGUGUGUGGCUGGGAUGAAAGGAAAUAAGAGAAAGGAGAGUGAUGGAUGGCUGUAUGAAAGGGAUAUGAGUGAAAAUGAGGGAUUGGGGGGCUGCGCACUCAGAAACAAGAGAAGGGAGGGGAAAUGAGAGAAAAGAAAAAAAGAUGGAAUUGGAUCCCUUUGAAGACUCGCUACCCGACUUGAGUUCCGGCGACUUUCCUGACGGUUUUCCAUCCAUUUUUCCGGCUUUCCUCACCCUUCCAUCACCACUAAACCUCAUCACAACAUCCCAUCAUCCCAUUCUAGUCAAAAUCGACAAGAAUUGGUUAUGAUUUCACGAAGUUUGAACCCGUGGGUGUCGCAGAAACCCUUGCCCAAGAUCCACCAAUUCUUAAACGAUUUCAUUCAAUUACCACCACCAAAACACUCCUUUAGAAGUUAAGAACAAAGCUCAAACAGGUUUGAGUGUGGUAGAGCAUCAAAGGUGAUGAAUCGAAGCCACCUAUUUCUAGGGUUUCUGGCGAGUUCGAGUGAAAUUAAGGAUUUUUCUGGCCCAAUUGGACUUGGCCACAGGUAUAAAACUUGCUCUACUCAUUAAGAUAUUCAAUUUUAUGAAAUUUAGUAAUUUUUUGAAAUAGUUGAUUUUUCCGGCGAGUUGGGGCAGCCAGCCGCCUCGUGUGGCGACGCAUGGGCCGAGACCCCACCUAACCAUCAUAGGCUAAUUUGAAGACCCGAUUCCAUAAUUGACAUCCGUUUAUUGAAAUCCUGAUGUUUUAAUAUAGUUUCGUAGUGGACCGGCUAGUUGGCCGCCACUUGGUUAUUAUAUAAAUGGACGAUUCGACAGUUGGAUCGACACCAAACUUUACUACGUGAUAAUACGUAAUAUUUAUGGACAUUAGGAACUUAUGGAUCGAGAAUCCGACGUAUAAAUCUUCCCAAAUUGAAUUUCUAAAGUUUGUAAAAUCUAACGUUGACAACUACUUGAAUUUGCGAUUGGCGGAGAUCUAACCGUUGGAUCGUAAAGAAGUUUUAGUAUGUUAUUCUGGAACCAUAAUGUGGACUUUGGGAAGUUAUGGAUCAAAAAUCCACAGGCGGAUGUUCCAGAUUGACUUGUGUAGGGUUGUGGACCUCACCUUUGAUAGAGAAUCCGACGUACGAAUCUUCCCAAAUUGAAUUAAUCUUAAAUAUUAAAAUCAGUAUUACUAGAGACUAUGUAGGGCUUAGUAGGCCUAUAUUGAUUAGUGAGUUGACCUAGAUAAUAUAUACAUCGGUUGACUUUUAGGGUUAACCGUUAACUUUUUGUAAAAUUUGGCUGGGACCCUCCUUAGCAUAUUUCGACGCACUAAUUCUGAAUCUGCCAUCCGUUUUUCAAAAUUCGACUGUUUUAGGAUAGUUCCUUUAUUAUCCGUACUUUGUACGAAAACACGUAAUUUCAUUAGCACGUUAUAUUUACCUAAAUGGUUUUGUUUCUAGGCAAAAUGCAUCGCAAGGACUCUCGAUGCUACAAGGUGGGUUCGACUUGGCAACAUGAUCUGUGAGUGGGUCUUUUCUUUAUCUCUACUAAUUAAUGAAACCCUCUUUGUCAACCAAAAGAUGAUGAAAAGACAACUUAGUCUUCUAUCACGCAAAAAAAAUGAUGGGCAAUAAUGUAAUUUCACAGGUUCAAAUUUUACUUUUUUUUUGUUGAAGCCUCACCUACAGGUGAUGUUAAAAUAUCUCUAAUAUUUAAAAUUUAAGAAAAAAAAACCAAAAACAAAAACCUCCUUCUCCCCCCCCCCCACGUUCUCUCUCUCUCCCUCUCUCCAUAUUUAAGGUUGUUUGUACCAUACUUGACCAAUCCAGAAACUACUGAGUACCGGUUAACGUUAUACCGUCAAGGACCCAGAAGAGUUUCCCUCCAACCAGGAGGCCAAUCACAGCGCGACAUGUGUCGACAUCAGAAGUCAAUCAUAGUGCGACACGUGUCAACAUCAGAAGCCAAUCACAACACGACACGUGUCAAUGUCAGAAUGAAACUAGAAACUUUUUUCUAUAAAUAGAGAUCAUUCUCUCAGAAUAUUGCCUAAUGUCAUUUGUACUAAAUCAUUCACUAGUACUCACUAAAGGAGAGCUUGAACCUAUGUACUUGUGUAAACCUUUCACGAUUAAUGAGAACUCCCCUACUCCGUGGACGUAGCCAAUCUGGGUGAACCACGUACAUCUUGUGUUUGCUUCCAUGUCCCUAUCCAUUUACAUACUUAUCCACACUAGUGACCGGAGCAAUCUAGCGAAGGUCACAAACUUAACACUUUCUGUUGUACCAAAGUCCUCACUAAUUUUGUGCAUCAACAUUUGGCGCCGUCUGUGGGAAAUGACACUUAUUCUCACUCUCUUCAGCUUUGUUAAGCUGGUUUCCACCAUUCGUACACUCUCUUUUGACCAGGCAUCCCUCUCCAACAUAGGGAGCGAAGGAAGCCACAACACACAGAAUGACACCCCUCUUGCACCUAGUCCAAAGCAACGAAAAAAGGAAAGAAAGAGGGUUACUCUUCAAGCUAAAGUCGAUGAGCUAGAAUCUCAAAACAACAAGAUAGCAAUGAAGAAUGAGGUCCUCCGGGAGCAGUAUGAGAAGCUCUUUGAGAUGCUCCAUGAAACUAGGUGUACUCAAACACGCGAACUCAUUACCCUUGUGGACAUCAACCAUCAUCCGGAUGCCUUCCAACAAGGAGGGUCACCUUUCUUCGACAUGGGUAUCCCUGAUGAGGAGCGAGCUAAUCAUCAAAACAUUGACCAACAUGAGACUUCUCUCAACCCAGUUGCUUCGAUCCAAAGCAGGAGAAGUGGAGGAAGACACCUCUUUGCAGAAAGGUUAGGAGGAUCGAAAGUCGUUUAUCGUGAUUGCCGAGACUUCCUAAAGCAACGUCGAAAAAAUCCCCUCCACAUAAGCUCGAAGAUCAAUAACCCAAAGGUUUUUGAAAGACUCGGUCCCUUCCCACGUCCCAGGCCGGCUACCAAUUUGGGGAAGGGGCAACAAGUCCUAAAGAAACACGAAAGUAUAGGGGACUCAGAGAUGUUUCGACAGACAUACCUUGAAAGUCAGUAUGGCGAGUCCGGGGAAAAAUCACAUGCUCUUGAUCAAACAUUCUUACUUCCAAGAAGAGAUGGAGAUUUACGAAGGAAAGCUCCAGUGGUACAUGACUCCACUCAGGACCCUCUUGUCUUACAGCUUCUUAAGGAAGUAAACAAGUUGAAGGCCGAACGACAAGCUGAGAUACCUGAUUGGAACCAACCUAGGCCUGGCCCUCUUACAAGGAGGAUCCUCGACACCCCCUCCAAGCAAAGACAAAGCAGAAGCUUGGCUUGCAACACUAUACUGGAAAGGAGGACCCGAUUGAACACUUUAACCUCUUUGAGUCCACCAUGGCACCGGAUGCACACCGACGAAGAGCGAUGUCUUCUCUUCCCCUCCACCCUCUUUGGCGGAGCUCUAAACUGGUAUUGCUGUCUUCCACCUGAGACGAUAGACUCAUUUGAGGAAUUGAGGAAACUGUUUGUUUCUCAACACAUUUUCCAGACCGAUCGCUUGCAUUCUGCAGAUGACUUGUACAUUAUUCGCCAAAAGCUGGAUGAGUCACUACGAGAGUAUGCCGGUCGCUUCAGCCAUGAGUAUUCUCGUUGCUCUGAGGCAGAUGACAAGACCGCCUUCAAGGCCUUCACGGCAAGCCUACAUGAUUGUUUCUUCAAGUACAUGAUCAAUGCCAACACUUGGAAGAUUUACUCUGAGGUGAUGGCACAGACUUACAACCAUGCCUCUGCCAAGGCAAGGACAUAUCUAGGGAAACCCCCCACAGCCACCCCUUAUCAGCAAGUAGGGAGUGGAAGCCAGAUCCAACCAAAUGAGAAGACCUUGACCUUCCAAACGGUUACAGUGCAUCCCCCUGCCUUACUUAAUAUUUUGCCAAGUCAACAGACAUAUCAAUCUCAGGGCAAAAGGAAAGAUUUCCAUCCUCACCAGUCUCAUUUUAGUAAAAGGAGUAAGGGACAUUACCGCGAUAACUAAGGGUAUUACCACGAUAAUCCCCGACCCUAGGCAGUCAACACAGUGGGUCAAGCACGUGUUAGGACAGCCCCUACCCCGAGGUAUGAGGCAUACACACUUUUGAACGCCACAUGCGUGUCCAUUUACCCCAGCAUAGCACACCUGAUACCGAAGCCAAAGGUGAGGCACCCGGAUUACAAGUCUACGAAGAACACAGACAUGUUUUGCUGCUACCACGAGUAUAACGGCCAUAACGACGAAAAGUGUAUCACCCUUCGUGAUCAUAUUGAAGCUUUGGCACGUGAAGGAAAUAUUGAUCAAUUCCUCAUUCACCCUCCAAUGGGUAACCGUAACCAACGCCAGGUGAAUGUGAUAUAUUCCAUAAGUGGUGGCACACCUAUAUCUAAAUCUUCCAACAGGGCCAUGAAAAAUAGUGAACGAGCUAUAAGGUCUGACCACCAAGUGUUUCACAUGGAAGACAUCAAGGGAGGCAAGCAUCAAAAGCCUAACUGGGAUCCAAUAUGUUUCUACCCUGAGGAAGAAAGAGGUAUCAUUUACCUUCACAACGACCCACUAAUCGUGGAAGCUCACAUAGCCAACUUUGAAGUACGACGAAUCCUGGUAGACACGGAGGCUUCGGUCAAUAUCAUGUUUGCCGAAGCUUUCGGGGCACUUAAUGUAGCUAAACACUUGCUUGAUCGCUCGAUUUCCCCUCUGAUAAGUUUUUUCGGUGAUAUCGUGCAACCUUUGAGGAGCAUACACUUACCUUUCACCAUUGGUACAUGCCCUUACACAGCUACUAUUACCACUAACUUCCUAGUUGUUGAUUGCCCAACGACAUACAAUGUCAUCUUAGGACGCACAUGCGUCAAUGAUCUCAAGGCCAUAGUAUCCACACAUAUGUUAUUGAUGAAAUUUCCAACCCCCUAUGGCAAUGGUUACAUCAAAGGAGAUCAACUUAGUGCACGAUCAUAUUACAACACUUCGGUCAAGCAACAACACCUACUUGUGCCCAAGGAAACCCUUUCUAUACAUGACUAAGUCAUAAAGACCAGCCCAGAUAAAGCCAACUUGGAUCUUCAUGGUGGCAACAGUCAACCCGACGAUCUUCGAGAUGACUCUUUGACCCAGCAAGCACAACCCGCUGAAGAGUUAAAGAAGGUCUCUAUCUCAAAAGAUUAUCCAGAUUGCAUGGUGAAGAUUGGCACCACCUUGUCACCACCCAUUCGGUUGGCAUUGAUCUCUUUUUUGCAAGAGAACACUGAGGUCUUCGCCUGGUCAUACGAGGACAUGCCAGACAUCUCUCCCGAUAUCAUUUGUCAUCGCUUAAGUAUUGACCCCAAGACCAAGCAGUGAGACAGAAGCGAAGAUCCUAUAAUGCUGAACUGUACGAGGCAAUGAAGGCAGAAGUUGAAAAACUCAAAGGCAUAGGCUUUGUCCGCGAAGUCAAUUAUCCAACGUGGGUAGCAAAUGUUGUCCUAGUUAAGAAGAAUCCGACCAAGGAAAGUCUCAUGCUCCAAAAGGUAUUGUGGAGAAUGUGUGUCGAUUACACCGACCUAAACAAAGAAUGCCUGAAUGAUAGUUUUCCUCUUCCUCUCAUAGACAGACUUAUAGACUCUACAGCAGGGUGUGAACUCCUGAGCUUCAUGGAUGCUUACUCAGGAUACAACCAAAUCCUCAUGAACCCUCUGGACCAAGAACACACAGCCUUCACUACUGACAGGGGACUAUAUUGCUAUAAAGUCAUGCCCUUUGGCCUAAAGAAUGCAGGAGCGACUUAUCAGAGACUGAUCAAUUCAAUGUUCACCGAACAGAUUGGGAAGAGCAUGGAAGUUUACGUUGAUGAUAUGCUAGUCAAGAGCAAACAUGCUGACCAACACAUCACCAACUUAUCUGAAACUUUCACCAUUCUGAAGAGGUAUCGAAUGAGGUUAAACCCCAACAAAUGUGCCUUCGGCAUAAGCUCUGGCAAAUUCUUAGGCUUCAUGAUAAGCUAACGAGGCAUUGAGGCUAAUCCCGAGAAGAUCAAAGCAAUCUUCGACAUGAAGGAACUGGUAACUUCAAAAGACAUCCAAAGCCUUACUGGCAAGGUGGCAGCCUUAAAUAGGUUCAUCUCCAAAGCCACAGACAGAUGUGCUCCUUUCUUCAAAGCACUUAAGGGAAGUAAGAAGUACAUUACAUGGACUGAUGAAUGUGCUGAGGCAUUCAAGAACCUCAAAGACUACAUGAGUAAAGCCUAUUUGCUCUCCAAACCUGAGGUUGGUGACACUCUCAUUAUCUAUCUGUCGGUAUCAACUUCAGCAAUAAGUUUCGUUCUCAUUAGAAAUGACGGUAAUGUCGAACGACCUGUCUACUACGCUAGUAAGGCCUUACAAGAUGCGGAGACACGAUACUCCAACAUUGAGAAAUUGGCUCUAGCAUUGGUCAUGUCUGCUCGAAAACUUCGCCCUUACUUCCAAGCACACUCCAUCAUCGUGCUUACCAAUCAUCCUCUUCGACAGAUACUCCAAAAUCCUGACUCUUCGACAGAUACUCUAAAGUCCUGACAUCUUCUACCAACCAAAGCCAGCUGAGAAGGGCCAAGUAGUGGCAGACUUCAUCGCCGACUUCACAUAUCCUGUUGACAUUGUUUCUAUGCCUAAAGAAAUGCUUUCAUUACCCUCGGAAGCUCAGAAAAUAGAACCAACAGCCCCAACGUGGAGCCUAUAUGUUGAUGGCUCGUCCAACAAACAGGGUUGUGGAGCAGGACUAAUCCUUACGACCCCUAACAAAGUGGCAAUGUAGUAUGCUCUUCGUUUCAAAUUCAAGGCGUCGAACAAUGAGGCCGAAUAUGAAGCCCUCUUAGCAGGCUUACGUUUGGCCAAACACCUUGGGGUUAGAUGAAUUGACAUCUUCAGUGACUCCUAAUUGGUGAUUAAUCAGGUCACCAACAACUUUGACGCUAAGGAUAGCUCCAUGGCAGGAUAUCUGGCACAAACACAAUUGUUGCUCAAGCACUUCCACUACCACAUCACCCAAAUUCCUCGAGCAGCAAACAGUCAUGCAGAUGCUUUGGCUCGCCUCGCCUCAGCGGUGGAAAACAAGAUUGGGAGAAAAAUUCAGGUCGAAUUGUUAGCAGCACCAAGCACCAUGGCUGCGGAAGUAUGCAACUUACAACAUGGGGAUAGUUGGAUUACUCCGAUGUAUAGAUUCCUUACUCAUGGCACCCUUCCAAAUGACAAAGUCCAAGCUAAGCAAAUUCGAUACAAGGCUGCCCGUUACUUGAUCAUUAAUGACCAACUCUACAAGCGGGGUUUUAACCUACCAUACCUAAGAUGCCUUACGCCCGCAGAGGCGGAAACUGUCUUUCGGGAAAUACAUGAAGAAGUCUGCGGAGAUUAUGCUGGAUCUCGAUCCCUAGCACACAAGGCUUUUCGCCAAGGAUAUUACUGGCCUGUUCGAAGCAAAUUUAAUUUAUAUGGUUCAUCCAAACCUUCGACUACUACAAAGUGUGGCUUGCAUCACAAUCUCUUGUUCAACAGUGUGGAAGCAAAAUUUGUAUAUGUUGUCUCUCCCACAUUUUCAAAUUUCUAGUUUCCCAAAAAAAAAAAAAAAAAAAAAAAAAAAGUGAAAUUCAACAAAGCUUCAUUAAUAGAGGACAACUACAAAAUCUCAAAAGCUUCACACUAUCUUGAUCAAGAUAGUGUGAAGCAAAAUCAAUUCAUGAUACCCAACAAAAGCUUCAACUCCAAAGCUUCACCUACAAAAGCUUCAACACAAAAGCUUUACCCACAAAAGCUUCACUAACAAAAGCUUCAUCAAUGGAGGACAAUUACAAAUUCUCAAAAGCUUCACACUAUCUUGAUCAAGAUAGUGUGAAGCAAAAUCAAUUCAUGGUACCCAACAAAAGCUUCAACUUCAAAGCUUCAACUCCAAAGCUUCACCUACAAAAGCUUUAACACAAAUGCUUCACCCACAAAAGCUUCACCAACAAAAGCUUCAUCAAUGGAGGACGACUACAAAUUCUCAAAAACUUCACACUAUCUUGAUGAAGAUAGUGUGAAGCAAAAUCAAUUCAUGGUACCCAACAAAAGCUUCAACUCCAAAGCUUCACCUACAAAGCUUCAACUCCAAAGGUUCACCUACAAAAGCUUCAACACAAAAGCUUGACCCACAAAAGCUUCACCCACAAAACCUUCACCCAUAAAACCUUCACCCACAAAAGCUUGACCCACAAAAGCUUGACCCACAAAAGCUUCACCUACAAAAGCUUCACCUACAAAAGUUUGACCCACAAAAGCUUUACCCACAAAAGCUUCAACACAAAAGCUUCACCUACAAAGCUUCAACACAAAAGCUUCACCUACAAAAGCUUCACACUAUCUUGAUCAAGAUAGUGUGAAGCAAAAUCAAUUCAUGGUGCCCAACAAAGCUUCACCUACAAAGCUUAAAAAUAUAUAUAUAUAUAUAUAUAUAUAUAUAUAUAUAUAUAUAUUAGGAAAUUCAAAAUUUCAAAAAAAAAAUUUCGAAAAUUCGAAAAAAAAAAAAAAUUUGAAAAUUCGAAAAACAAAUAUUCGAAAAAUUCGAAAAUUCAAAAAAAUAAAAUAAAAUAACCUAGGCCUCCUCUUCUAUAGGCCUAACAACUUUCAUAACAAAUAUAUAUGAAGAAGGAGUUUUGGGCUACCACUUAGAAAGGAAAUGCCUCAUUCGUCAACUCCCUUGACCGGAGACUUGGGGGACACCUACCAUAUGCUAUUGCACCUUGAUACUCAAAAGUCUCACGACCACUUAGUGACUUGGAUUUUUCAAGUCUCCAAUUGAGAAGUUUUCCUCACUCGGGAAAUUAAGGGAGCACUACCUCAACAUACAUGUUUCAAUCUUAAAGGUUCAACAUACAAGCUUCAACAAAAGAAAAAAUUCAAAGAACUUAGUGAAGAAGGCCUUAGUGUAUUUAACACAAUACGUUGAAAUGAAGCAAAACUUGUUUAUUGAUAUAUUCGAUAAGUCACAAAUAUGUACAUAUACAUGAAUCAAAAUAAACAAACAAGAGGGAGCCUUCACAAAGGUUGCUCAUAAGAAAUCUCAGCAAUCGGCAGAGCCCCAGAAAGAGUAGGCACCGGAGGAUGAUCAUUCGGAGCCUCAGUACUGGGCAAAACCUCAGAAGGAGGAGGCACCGAAGGUUGAUCAUUUGGAGCUUCAUUACGUGGUACAGCCCCAGAAGACUAAGGCAAUAAAUGCCUUUGGAACAAACCUACAAACCUCUGAUGAUCAAGCAAAAUCUGACCAUUAGAUUCCUGCAGCUGGUCAAGCUUCCUCUUCAUGUUUGUAGCAUAGUCAUGUGCGAGCCUGUGCAACUGUUUAUUCUCAUGCUUGAGCCCUUUGAUCUCCUGUUUGAGACUUAUCACUUCAGCCGCCAAUGAUUCAACUUGGCGGGUUCGAGCAAAUAGGCGUUGGGCCAUAUUAGGCACAGAACCUGCACACUGAACACUGAGAGCCAGAGAAUCCUUAACAGCCAACUCAUCAGACCGUUUGGAAAGUAGUCUGUUAUCUUUGGAAGUGAGAAGGUUCCUGGCCACCACCGUAGCGUUCAUAUCAUUCUUCAUCACAGAGUCCCCAAUGGUAAGAGAACUAGUAGGGGAUAAGAAGGAUGGGCGCCAUAUGUUGUCUUGAGAAGGCAUAGCUGCCUCUUCACCAAAGUUCAAGUCAAAACGACGGUCGGAUGGGCCAGACAUUUUCAGAAAUGAUGAAGGAGAAAUGAGGUGUAAUAAAUCUCUGAAGUAAAGGGAAAAUUCCUACAAGCAAUAACUCUCUGAAUGUACUCAUUGCACACAAUUGGUGCCAUUAUAAAAGAAAGGGCAACAGGGUCGUUGGUUCAAAAAUCAAAGAGGCACCACUCUUCGGAUUCCGAAGAGGCACCACUCUUCGGAUUUCGAAGAGGCACCACUUUCCACACGCAACAUCAGCUCCUCGGGUACCACAGAUAACUUUGACAAAGAUCUCUGACAAAGUUUAGACACAUAAAUUUUGAAGGUCCAGACCCUACUAUUACCCACAAGGGUAAAGGAACAGCACCAAUGCUUGAUAACUAGAAAGUCCCAAUGUGUGUCAACUUCCGUGCUCCGUGGCAAGGCAGAUUGGCAAAAAUGCCCAACCUUUACUCACAUUUGAGAAAACACUCCUAACAAGAUUGCUUGCUCAAAAAUCGAAGAGGAAUCACUCUCCGAAUCUUGAGAGCCAGACUCCCAACAAGAUUACUUUCUCAAAAAUCGAAGAGGCACCGCUCUCCGAAUCUCAAGAGCCAGACUUCCAACAAGAUUGCUUUCUUAAAAAUCGAAUAGGCACUGUUCUCUGAAUCUCGAGAGUCAGAUCCCCGAUAGGAUUGCUUAUUCAAAAACCGAAGAGGCACCGCUCUCCGAAGUUCGAGAGCCAAAUUUCCUUGGAUAAAGCUUGUCUGCAAUCUUCAACGCAACAUCAGCUUUCCAGAUACCACAGACCACUUUUUCAAAGCGCUCUGACAAAGUUAAAAUAUGUGAAGCUUGCAGCUCCCACUACAUUGCUAUGACCAAGAAGGGUAAAGGAAUAGCAUUAUUACUUGCUCAAAAAUAGAAUAGGCACCACCCUCCGAAUCUCGAGAGCUAAACUCCCAACAGGAUUACUUUCUCAAAAAUCGAAGAGGCACCGCUCUCCGAAUCUCAAGAGUCAGACUCCCAACAGGAUUGUUUUCUCAAAAAUUGAAAAGGUACCGCUCUCCGAAUCUCGAGAGCCAGAUCCCCGACAGGAUUGCUUGUUCAAAAACCAAAGAGGCAUCGCUCUCCGAACUUCGAGAGCCAGAUUUCCUUGGAUAAAGCUUGUCUGCAAUCUUAACACGCAACAUCAGAUUUCUAGAUACCACAUACCACUUUUUCAAAGUGCUCUGACAAAGUUAAAACACGUGAAGCUUGCAGCUCCCACUACAUUGCUACGACCAAGAAGGGUAAAGGAAUAGCAUUACUACUUGUUGUUAGGGAGACUCUUAUAUAUGUCGACCUUCAUCCUCCACGGACAGGCAGACCUGCAAAAAUGCUCAACCCUUCCUCAUAUCUGAAAGGGCACUCCCAACGAAGCCUCUCGAAAUACUCAGCUUUCUCCCCCCCCAAUAAUACCUAUGCAAACCAGCCACACCAGAGAAAAAGUAUCUCAUAUCAUCAGGGUCAAAAGCAAGAGUAUCCCAUAUCAUGUUUUUUCCCUAUCUUUUCCUUUUCCCUUGUUCUUACCUGCAAGACAAGGAGAAGGAGAGCAAUCAGUCAGCACUUGGAAUCAAGCUUCCAGUCAGGAACUGACUGCCUGGAACCUCUUGUCUGAUUACUUACCUGGCAUUGCUCUCGAGUACUCAUCUUCAACAUCUUAUGCUUCCAGAAAAAACAUCACAUCUGCCUAAGGGACGGAUAGGGCAAGUGAGAAGGAUAUAAGGAAACAUGUGGAGACAAGCGCAACAUAACACAUGCUGAUUCAUCUAUUACUUCAUCAACAGCAAAAGUAUCUCAUAUCAUCAAGGUCGAACGCACUCUUGAUUUGAUGGACUUGUUUUGACCCUCAAAUUCUUGAGUCGACCUUAUACUCUGGAGGAAACCAGAAAACCCUCCAGCCCAGUUCAAGAAUAAGCCUGUGGAAAGUUACUUAUUCAAAAGCAAAAGUAUCUCAUAUCAUCUCUUCUCCAUUUGCUUCUCCUUAUCCUUUUUGUUGUUUACGACACAAGAAGAAGGAGAACAAUCAACCGGAAGCCGAAGUCGAACCUCCGAUCCAGGUUGCUUACUUGGAAGUCUGAUUGCUUACCUUGUCUGUUACUUCUUUCAACAAAUCUUCUAGCUUGGCGACUUGGGGGACUCAUACUAUAGGGUUUUGUAUCGCAAUUGACCAAGCCCGAAACUACAAGUAAGCUUCAAGUGAAAUUGAUACAUUACCUUAUGCAUCUUCAUUGGUUAAAGAUACCACCCCUGGAUAGAGGAAAAGUACUUCCAGAGAAGAUGCCACAUCUACAUAUGAGACACAUAAGGCAAGUGAAAAUGAUACCACACUUCGGUACUUAGAAGUUUCGUGAUUACUCAAUGGCUUGGAUCUUGCAAGUCCCCAAUCGAGGAGCUUUCCUCACUCAGGAACUUAAAGGAGCACUGUUUGUACCAUACUUGACCAAUCCCGAAACUACUGAGCACCGGUCAACGUUAUACCGUCAAGGACCCAGAAAAGUUUCCCUCCAACCAGGAGGCCAAUCACAACAUAACACGUGUCGACAUUAGAAGCCAAUCAUAGCGCAACACGUGUCAACAUCAGAAGCCAAUCACAACACAACACGUGUCAAUGUCAGAAUGAAACUAGAAACUCUAUUCUAUAAAUAGAGAUCAUUCUCUCACAAUAUUGCCUAAUGUCAUUUGUACUAAAUCAUUCAUUAGUACUCACUAAAGGAUAGCUUGAACUUAUGUACUUGUGUAAACCCUUCACGAUUAAUGAGAACUCUUCUAUUUCGUGGACGUAGCCAAUCUGGGUGAACCACGUACAUCUUGUGUUUGCUUCCCUGUCCCUAUCCAUUUACAUACUUAUCCACACUAGUGACCGGAGCAAUCUAGCGAAGGUCACAAACUUAACACUUUCUGUUGUACCAAAGUCCUCACUGAUUUUGUGCAUCAACAAAGGUAAUUCACCACAUUUUAAUUUUGAAUGAAUUUUCAAUUUAAAACUUUAAUUAAAGAAAAAAAACUCCCAUGUUAGUGGGUGGUUUGGUUUUGCUUCAUAUUUUGUUUUGAAUAAAUUUUUUCAUAAAAAUAUAAAAUAGUUAUUUAAAGAUAAUUAAAAGAUAUAAUCUAAUAUAAAAAAGGCUAAUUACCACAUGAGUAUGUGUGUGGUAAAAGACUAGUAUAUAUAUAUUGGUUAGUUUCCAUAUAUACAAGCAUUAAUAAAUUCUUUAUGCGAUUGCCAUGAUUAAAUUAAUGAUUAUAAGAAAUACCUUAUUGUUGCGAAAUGAUGAAAUAAUCUUACGGGAUGCACAGGUAAGCUUACUAUAAGGAGAUACCUUGAUUAUAUUUAUGGUCAUGAACAGUACGAUAUUGAUUAAAAUUGUUGAAUGGAUAUGGCAUGACCAUAUUGAUGUUAUUUGCUUAUCGUUUGCUGCACUAGUGUUGGUACUCGCCCGGGCCAGGGCUAGUCUUUCACGUGUAUGUGCACAUCGCACCGCACGCUCACUUUGGAUCCAUUGUAUGUGUUGCGCAGAGCAUCAGUCUUUACAUGAUUGUAGUACUAUAGUGUAUAUUAUUAUUACACCCAUUCCUGUUCAUGUCAGAAUGCCUCUGCAUGAACUCGUGUGUCAGUAUGUGUCGAUGAGCACCUGAUAUGAUAUGUUGCUUAUGUGACAUUUUGUGAUUAUGGAUGUCAUGCCCUUAUUUACGAGAUAUUGUGCCGUAAUGAAUUUUUGAGAUUUUGUAGGCUACGGUAAGUAUUUUCUUACUAUACGUAGUACGUAUAUUUUGGAAAAUAUAUUGGUUUUACAGCAAGGCGUUAUUACGUUUUCGAAAAUGUUUUUACAAAGAUUUGUUUUUAGGCCCACUCACCUUUCUUUUUCACCCCUCCAUCUAGGUUCUAGUAGCAGAGUUUUCGUACCAACCAGGAUUAUUGGCUAAUUUUGGUGUACACAAUUACCUUCAAUGGUAUAAUUCUCACCCUAUCUUACUGUAUUGUACUUAUGCUCUGACAUCACGUGUGAAAUGGGUUCAUUCCCACUCACCGCGCACUCUAUUACUUAAGCACUUUUAGGUUUAAGUUUAUACAUAUUUUCCACAUCACUACCCUUUAUAGCUUCGUCACCUUCAAGGUGUUGGCUAACACGGCUUAGUUCAAAGUCCAAGUGGACAUUCAGGGUCGAGAUGUGUCAAUUAAUUUCUAAUUGAUAAUGUGGCAUAUUUAAACUCGUUUUUAGUCCCUAAAAGUCAGAUAUACAAAGAAAAUCAAAUUGUGUGAUGAGUUGUCGAUUUGGAAUAUGAAUCAUUAAUUGAAGAAAAACUCAUGAGCAUUUGUGACAGCCCGUCCCGAAUUAGAAUAUAUUUUUUUAUCCUCGAACGCGUGGAAAUGACGAUUUUUCCCUCGUGGACCUUGUGACAUGAAUGUAUGCAUAUGGUUUAAAUUAUUUUUGACGUUAUGAGAAUGUCAGUGCGAUGUAGGGGCCAAGUUUAGGUUCAUAGUGGAAAUAUUGUUAAGGAAUUGAGGAAAUUGGAUUGGACCUAAGCUUGCAUGAGCCUAGGCAUGCGGCCCAAUUAGGGUUUAGGAUAAUUUAAAAUUGCCCAAUCUGGGCAUGUACACAAACACCCACAUGUGCACCUACCUUCUCUCUUUCUUUCUCGAACCCUCUUCCCUGUCCGUACAAACAAACCCCAUAACCUUCAAACAUCUUCAUACACCCAUAGAUCGAGUGUGAAGAUAACAUUAUCGUGCUUCCCUUGCCCUCACGAGUCAAGUCGUACCCUUUGUUUGAGAAGAGGACUUGUAGAACUCGAGAUACCCGAGCUCUGGCGAGGAGAGUAAAUUGUUUCGACGUGAUCGCGAUCGUUUUAGCUAGUGUGAGACUUAAGAAGGUAUUUUUCUAGAUUAUAUGGUCUGUUGGAGUAAUUUUGAAGUAGUUUGGAGGUUGGGAUAAGCUUAACCAUGGGUUUCCAGGUUUAGCCGAAAUUUCAAGGAACUUUCCGACCAGUUUCCGUCAGUUUUUGGACCUCUGAGAGGUAAGACAAUGUUCAACUCGUUUAGGGCUUCAAUUUGACAUAAAUUUCAUGGAAUUUGGUUGAAAAACGAGGAAGAUAUUAAAGUUUGAAAAUUUGCCAUGUCAUAUUUGCUUUAUAUUUUAGCAUAUGAUUUAGGAUAGCUUUGCAUAAUAUUGCAUGCUAUUGCGGAGGCCAAGGUAAGUUCAUGUGAGUACACAUUGUUGGUAUGAUUACAUAGUAGUUAGUGAUGAAUUGUUGUGCAUAGAAUUCAUUGUAUGCUUCGCCCGAGGCCAAGGCCUAGCAUUCACGUGAUCGUUCACCCCCCAGGACCGUACGAUCACCUUGGAUCCAAGGCAAGUGCCAACUUGUCGUACAGACCACCUUAGGUAGUUCUGACUCGUAGGUGACUUGCGAUACUUCGCACAGCCCUCAUGUAAUCAUAGCACUUGAGCGCAUUCAUUUACACCUAGCCUGUCGUACAUACCACAUUAGGUGGUUAUGACUCACGUGUAGGACUUGACUGAUGAGUUAUAGAAUCAACCGUAUAGGUCACGUUAGGUGACUGCAGCUGAUAUGUCAUUUUAUAUUGAUUCAUUUCCCUUGGCUUACUUAUGCAUUGUGGAGAUGAUUGACCUGGCAUACAUGUGGUUUUGCUACUCUCAAGCUUGGUUCUUAUAUACGUAGUACUAUUUUCUGGGAAAUUAUACGGGUUUUUCGGUGAGGGGUUAUUACUUUUGGAAAGAUAAAUGGUUUUGAAAAGCUUUGUUUUUACCCACUCACACUUUUUGUUUUGCGCCCCUCCAGAUUCUAGAUAGAAGUUUGGGUUGGUGGCUCACAAGGACUCCACGGCAGUUCUGACAAACAUCCACCAAUGUAGGGUUUCUUUUAUGAUCUGUAUAAUUAGACUUCUGGACUGCGUUCUAAUACCUAUGCUUUGGUUGUGUGUGUACUUACACUUUAAACACUUUCACUCGCACUAAUAUGCUAGUCUAGUGUAAAUUAGUUAGUUGGUUUUUAUUUAUCCGUAUUUUUAUAUCACGUUCACUUCCGCACAGCGCACAUGGCUAUGUCACCCUUACGUGACAGCCAGCAUGCCUCGAUUAGGGUCGGGGUGUGUCAGUAUUAGUUUUGCUCGAUAUAAUGCAAGGGUGGCUUCCACAAGAACUUAAAUAUUGGUCUCACUCUAAGAGCACUUUCAUGGGUCUUGAAUUAACUAAGCAGUUUGGGUUGAAGGCAAAAACUGUCCAAAAACACACUUCCUAGCGAGUCUUAAUUAUCAGGCAAGAGGUGGGGUGCAUGGAUGUCACGCCCUGAACUAGGGUCAGUAAUAACAACUCAAACCCGAAUCCAAAACGUGAGUUAAAACUAAAUAAUUACUAGGAAAUUGUCACGGGUUGGAAAAUAAAUUCCUCUUAUAAAAAUAACUCAUGAUUCUUAGACAAAUCUAGAAUUAUAGUAAAUAGAUGAAUAAACUCUAUAUUCUCCAAUCUAAUCCGAUCACAUCCUGCCUACCAUCUUGAAUGUAUAGUUCGUAAACCUGCAUAACAAAAGAGGGAUGAGUUUCAACAGCUUAAUAGGGACAUAACCUUACCACGGUAAAUUGACAAUACUAAAUUAAGUGUCAUGGAAUCAUAUAGCCAAAUUUCAAAUCAUUAUUGAUAACAAUGCAUGAAUGUAAUGCAACCUCUUCGGCUACACCUGUUAAUUUAUAUAAUAAAACAUGCGGAUAUCCACGCCCCAUACCGUGCAUUUUACCACUGCAAUGGUGAUUCGAAUAUUCUAUUAUACAAAUUAACCCCCAUAAUAUAUCCCAAGUUCAUAAACCCCUUUUGUUAGUCAUCUUAUCUAAUUCAUUGAUCUCCAUCCCAAAUCGCCCACAUCAACAAUUCAUCCCGUCGAUAUCCUAUUCUAAUGUGCACAUAGGGUUUUCCUAGGACCUAGUUCACAAUGAAUAGAUUCCACUACACAAAAGAUCAUUUCCAGACCAAUCUAAACACCUUUCCAAUUACCCUCAUUUCUAGACCAAUCUAAACAGUGAAGUUCUAACCACAUUAACAUGAAUGAUGCACAUAUAAUAUCAUUUCAUUUUUACGUAUAUCACAGUAUAUUCUCAACGAAUUACAUUCCAACAAUAAUUCCAUAACUAAUAACAAGUAAAACUAAACGAAGCAAUUAGCUAAUUAAUAUCCAACCACAUUAAUCAACUAAAAAGAUAAAGAAUACUCAACCACUUCACGAAAUUUAAUAAAAUCAAUUUCCGUAAAGGUUUGCCGUAUUUCCCCUACUUGGAUUCCAAGGCUAAAAUGAAAAUCCACGUCACUACCGAAAUAGUUAAGCUCCACGUAAUUAUCCAUGUCACUACCAAAAUGGCUAAAUUCCUCAUAUUUGAGGAAGCUCCUUGAUCACUCCUAACACCAUACUCUCUUUUAUUUUCUAAUCUCUCAUAUAUAAAUAUAAGAACUAAACCUAUGUAUAUAGCAUAAGUACAGAACAUGUUUGCAUGCACUUGCAUGUCAAACUCUCAUAAUUUCUCUCUACAAAGGCUUAACAUGCAUGAAACCAUAUAUCUCACUACAUCGUCCAACCCGUGCACCAGUUGGUAACCAAAAUCAAAGGAAUGAAGUCCCUAUUUAUAGGGGAAAAUGCAGCUACCAAUGUAAUUUGAAAUUUGAUUGGACAGUGUGACGGCAAAGGAUAAAACCAAUGAACCUGUCUAGUUCUUCUACAAGCUCCUACGUGUAAAGAUGAGGAGAGCUGAUACUAUGCAUCCAACACCUAAUUGCUUAGUCACUUAGUUGAUGCAACAGGUGUCAAUAGCAACUCAAAAGAUUUAACCUGCAACUGCCACCUCAAAUACAAAAGUGCUUACAAGCACCUUAAUUCAGAUAGCUAAGAACCAAGUCAUGACACGUCCAACCUUAGGUGGAUCUCCAAGUUUGCUGGAAUUACACACCUACUAAUCUGCAUGAAACAUUUAAGCCACCUCCCACUUUUUGUUUUCCUAAUCAUGUCUCGACAGCCCACGUAUUCUUAUUCUAGAAUACUCCAACUCAACUUAUCUUCCUAAUUAACUAAUGCAAUAUCUUCCACCACAAACUGCCACCUCCCACCUUUAUUUAAUCCUCUCAACUCAAACCUUAAUCAUAAAAAUAAGAUAGUGUCAAUAUGCUUAACUACAUGCAUAAAUAAUAUCCACAAUAAAUUCUAAAAAUACAAGAUCUUACAAUCUACCCUUCUUAAAAAAAUUCGUUCUCGAAAUUUAUCCAACCUUAAUCGUUAAAAACUUCCAACCAUCAAAGCCUAUGUUGAUAAGUCAAUUAAUAUAAGAAUGUAAAUCGAUAUUAAGACUUCCUAAAAUUGAUUCUUAAAACCAGUCAGCUCAAGUCCUCAUAUAUAAAGAUCAUCCAUCCAUCUAUCAUCGUAGUCGUUCAACUUCAAUUAACCUCAUUUUUCCAAAAAUGUCAACAGAAACAACCACUCAAUACUUUUCAAGUCCAUGUCUCAAAAAUUGUCGAGUUCACUAAAUGAUUCCGAAGUUGAGUACUAACCUAUAAAAUCUUGUAAAACUCAUCAAAUAUCAGACCUUAUAUUCCACAUCAAUAUCCGUAAAUUUAUUUCUUAAACCUACAAAUCCAACACUCCACAUAGAUAAUUCAAAGUAUUAAAGUUCUUCAAUUGGAGUCAAUAGUACACAUGUCAUCUGUUAUUCUUGCUUAGGGAUUACUUUGAUCAUCCAAUUCACGACUCUCUAUUCCUUCCAUAACAUUCAUUUAACCACUUAAAUACUUGUGGUAAAGGAAAGUAUAUAUGGCUCUUAGCUCCAACGAUUACUUCAAACUUGUGAUCUUGUACAUAUCAAUCACUUCACUAAUUAACUGCCAAUUCAAAGAGAGAAUCAAUACUAUGCAUCAUAAUCCCUUUGUUUUGUAUUCCAAUUAUUGAUAACCUUAUGCAUACUAAUUAAACAACUGAAGUAAGAUCAUCCAACUCUAAAAAAUCAACAACUUCAAUACAUUUCAAGCCAAUAAGAAUUCUCUAAUAGUCUUAUUUUCACCACAUAUAGUUCAUAUACCUAACUAAUAUUAAGAACCUCAUCAAUUUGUUCCCAUUAUUUCCUCUGGUUUAGUAGUAAGCCUUAACUUCAUUUUCCCUUCAACUCAUUUCUUUUUCUUCUAUUUGAAUUCUAACCACGAGACAACUUCAACACAAUUCUCAUUCCAGUAACUGCAUCCCAGUCAACUAGUAGUCCACAUCCAAAUUUAAAUAGGCCAAUCUCCUAUGAAAUUCCAAGUCACUAAAUUAUGGCACUCCCAACUUCCCUUUGUCUAUUGUAUUUCACUCUUUCUUUAUACAUCUAUCACCAAGAGUGUAUACUUGUGGUUUUCAUUCUCUUUUAAAAUCCUCAGCUCCUUAAUUCUUUUUCUUCUUCAAAUUAACAGAAGCUUAUCCACUGAAAAUUACUCUCUUUCCGUACGGACAAUAUUAUAAUACAGUUGCUCUCUUCUCCAUCUUAAUUUGAUUCCCAAAAUUCGUCAUAUCUUCAUCAAACUAGCUGAUAGACAACCAAAGUUCAUCCUUCCUCUUAAAACAUCUUUUGUCAUCUCUGCUAUUUAUUCAAGCCUAAUUAUCAUUAUACAAAGUCUCAACAACAUAUUUAUACAUUUCUUUUAAAUUCUUCAACACUGAAACAUGUAGAAUACUCUUCUGCAUCAAUAUAGGUACUCUCAAAUUCUUCUGACCAAUAUAUAACUACCCAAAUCCUCAUAUUGAAGCACUAAUUCUCUUUCGUAAUUAUGAUUUUGUAUACAACAAUAACUUUGCAAGUGAUUCUCUGAAAUCGUGAACCAACACUGAGUUAUAACCUAACUCCUAGAGUUCAUAUUAGCUAUAUAAUAAUUUAUAACUCAAUUGCAAAAUUACAAAUCCAAAGUGAUCAUAAUUCUUUGUCUCAUCUUAGGAAUAAAUCUGCCAAUUUGUUCAGUAAUACUCACUGCACAUAUGAUUAUGUGUACUAAUUCUCAAAUAAAUAAAAAAACAAAGUUUAGCAUCUUACAAUCCGUCAACAAAUAGUGACUACUAGCUUCAUAUCUAUCCAUAAGUAAUCCAUAGACCUAUCCAAACCUAAAUUUCCUUCGUAAAUACUAGCUCUUACAUCAAAAUAUAUGAGUAACAAAAUCCAAGUGUUCGUAGCAUCUUAAUCUCUAAUAUACUCAUUCAACAUCACACGUAACUAGCUUAUUAUAAAAUCUUUUUGCAUAAAAUCCUUCUUAUUUGUCCACUGCUCAAGAUCAAAACAACACCAAAACUUACAAAACUCUAUGUCACAUCAAAUUCUCCUCUCAUUCAACUCUUAACUCUAAGAUCGAUUCUAAUCCCUCGACUAAUGAAUAAAUUUACUCGAGAAAUUCAUUUUGUAGAAUUUACUUAUAUACUCCUGUUUGCUUGACUCUUCAGAGUCAAAUGAGUUGAGUACACACUGACUUCUCCAAUUUUUCAUUGCAGUAACAUAACUUACAAAAAAAAAAUUGAUAAUAGUCCUAUCUCUCUCUAAAUGGCAAAACAUUACAACCACGUACUCAAUUUAUUCUUACUUCUUCCAGGGUAAGGAUGACCACUUUCCUCUUACUCAAGUCCACAGUCCAAGUUCUCUCGUCCUUUAGUUACUCUUGAACCCAUUUCAUCUGAAAAAUUCAUCUUAAAUUUAUAUGCAUGCGUUGCUUAACCCAUCCUUUUCGUUUUUUGGAUCAAACUUAAUUUCCUUUCUCAAAAGAUCCACAUAUGAAUUCAAUUGUCAAGAUCAUGUGCAAAAACUGACUUCACAUUUAAGCCUAUUCGUAUACUCUACAUAUCACUAGAGGCCAACCAAAACCCUUACUUCCAAAACCCAUCUCAUAGACUCUUCUAAAUUCAAACCUACCUGGCUCAUGCUAAUAUUUUCCCAGAGUUCAUAUCCAAGGGUUUCUAAUACCUAUGCUAUGAUACCAUUCUGUCAUGCCCAAAAUCCGGAUCAGUAAUAAAAACUCGAACCCGAAUCUGAAACGUGAGUUAAAACUAAAUAAUUAAAAGGAAAUUGCAACGGGUUGGAAAAAAAAUUCCUCUUAUAAAAAUAAAUCAUGAUUCUUAGACAAAUCAAGAAUUCUUUAUAACCUACAAUAAAUAGAUGAAUAAACUUUCUAUUCUCCAAUCUAAUUCGAUCACAUCCUACCUACCCUCUUGAAUGUCUAGUUCGUAAACCUGCAUAACAAUAGAGAGAUGAGCUUCAACAACUCAGUAGGGACAUAACCUUACUACAGUAAAUUGACAAUACUAAAUUAAGUGUCAUGAAAUCAUAUAGCCAAAUAUCAUUAUUGAUAACAAUGCAUGAAUACAAUGCAACCUCUUUGACUACACUUGUUAAUUUAUAAAACAAAACACACGAACCUGCACAUCUCAUACCGUGCAUUUUACCACUGUAGUGGUGGUUCGAAUAUUCUACUAUACAAAUUAACCCCCAUAAGAUAUCCCAAGUUCAUAAACCCCUUUUGUUAGUCAUCUUAUCUAAUUCAUUGAUCUCCAGCCCAAAAUGCCCACAUCGACAAUUUAUCCUACCGAUAUCCUAUUCUAAUGUGCACAUCGGGCUUUCCUAGGACCUGGUUCACAAUGAAUAGAUUCCACUACACAAAAGAUCCUUUCCAAUUACCCUCAUUUCCAGGCCAAUCUAAACAAUGAAGUUCUAACCACAUCAACAUGAAUGAUGCACAAAUAAUGUCAUUUCAUUUUUACAUGUAUCACAGUAUAUUCUCAUUGAAUAACAUUCCAACAAUAAUUCCAUAACUAAUAACAAGUAAAUUAAACGAAGCAAUUAGCCAAUUAAUAUCCAACCACAUUAAUCAGCCAAAAAGAUAAAGAAUAUUCUAAUACUUCACGAAAUUUAAUAAAAUCAGUUUCCGUAAAGGUUUGUUGUAUUUCCCUUACUUGGAUUUCAAAGCUAAAACGAAGAUCCACGUCACUACCGGAAUAGCUAAGCUCCACGUAGUUAUCCAUGUCACUACCGAAAUAGCUAAGUUCCAUGUAUUUGAGGAGCUCCUUCAUCGCUUCUAACACCAUAUAUUUCUUCUACUCUCUUGUAUUUUAUAAUCUCUCAUAUAUAAAUAUAAGAACUAAACCUAUGUAUAUAGCAUAAGUACAGAACAUGUUUGCAUGCACUUGCAUGUUAAACUCUCAUAAUUUCUCUCUGCGAAGGCUUAACAUGCAUGCUUGCAUGUAACCAUAUAUCUCACUACAUCGUUCAACCCGUGCACCAGUUGGUGACCAAAACCAAAGGAAUGAAGUCCCUAUUUAUAGGGAAAUAGGUAGCUACCAAUGUAAUUUGAGUGGAUGGUGUGACGGCAAGGAUAAAACCGAUGGACCUAUCUAGUUCUCAUGCGUGUAAAGAUGAGGAGAGCUUCUCCUGCAUGUAAAGAUGAGGAGAGCUGAUAUUGUGCAGCAACUCAAAAGAUUUAACCAUUACCUGCCACUUCAAAUACAAAAGUGCUUACAAGCACCUUAAUUCAGAUAGCUAAGAACCAAGUCAUGACACGUCCAACCCUAGGUGGAUCUCCAAGUUUGCUGGAAUUACACACCUACUAAUCUGCAUGAAACAUUUAAGCCACGUCCCACUAUUUGUUUUCCUAAUCAUGUCUCU
rnacentral:lncRNA from 1 species